rnacentral:lncRNA from 1 species
UUUGAAAGCAAAAUGUAUUUAUAUUAGUCUUUCAAACUCUGUUUUGUUAUUUCUUUUCCAGGGACUCCAAUAAAGUAAGUGACAACAAAGGAAGACAAAUAACACUCUAAGGCUGAUUAUUUUCUCCUGUGAUGUGGUCAAGGCUUUUGGCCACAAGUAGACACUGUGUUCUACUGGAGAAGUUAGCAAAAGUGCUGGCAGGUGAGGUUCAUUCACUUUAAGGAAGGAUGGAAAAAAGUUUGAGCUCCUUGCUCAUGAUACGGAAUUUCAUUCUUGAAUGACUGGUUUGGAGAUUUUGCUGUGGGCUUUUUUGGAUGAUGUGUGCACAGUUUGUUCUUCCUUUAGAGACUAACCCCAGCAUGUUUCUGAAAAUGCCUUGUGCCAUCACAGAGUAGAAAAAGAAUGGAAAUUAGAGCUAGAUCCAUGAACAAUCCAUCUUACAGACUUGGAGAUUUUGAUUAUUUGAGAUGAGCAAAGAGUGCUGUUAUUAAACAGAUUGGACAGCCCUAUUCAUAAAGUCCUUUUGUUUAGGCUUUCAUGGGAGGCAUGCUGCAGGCAGGUACUUAGGUUUUCUCAGUCAAGAUAUGGGCACUAUAGAAUAUUUUCUAGGGUUUGGAAAACUGAAAUAAUUCUGUGCUCUAUAAAUCUGGGUCCCUCAAUAGGAAUAAUGAUAACAAUGACAGUGAUGAUGGUGAAAUAGCAUUUACUGACUGCAUUUUUGAGCCAAGUAUCAUUUUCAGGGUAUCGUAUGUAAUAUCUCAUUUAACAGUCAUGAAAACCCAAAGACAGGGUAUUAACUUCAUUGGACAGGUGAGGAAAUUGAGCAGGAAAUCAUGAUGCAAUACAUGGCACAGGUAAGGUAGAAGUGCUGACAGAGGGUACACACCAAAAAUGGUGUAUCAUGCAGGUACUUCAUAGCUGAAACCUCAAGGGUGUUUUGGUGUGGAAUGAGUAUUUCAGAUACAUCAACAAAUGAAACUGUGGCUAUAAAUGACCUCGAACAGCCUGCACAAAGACAUGGCACUAAUAAAGACGGUGGCCUCUUUGCUGGCUGCCCAUCACUCUAAUGAUAAUAACAAAAAUGUUAAAGCAAGAUUUACUGUUACUAGGCCGUCUGCAAUUUUCCCUUCCCCCUCUCUCUUAGAAUCCCUUUAUUUUCACUUUCUCUUUGACAACCAUCUACUAAUGUCUCUCCCUUAUGAGCACAUUUGCAAGUACACAAUUCAAAUUUUCUGAGUUAUUCUUUGACAUGAGUCCUAGAGAGGUUAAGUGUCUUGCACAAGGUCAAAUAUGCCUAAUAAGUGCAGGAACAUGUAUUUGAACCCGGGCUUUCUUAUUUGUAUGAACCUCCUCUGGAAAAGAUACGAAGUUUAUGUGCUUACAAUUAGAAUAUAAAAGGAGUUCCAGUGAAAAAAAUGGUGGCAAGCACUGGCUCCAAAACAGCAAUAUUCAUUCAUUCAUUCAUUCUCUCUCUCUCUCUCUCUCUCACACACACACACACACACACACACACACACAGACACUUUCCUCACACAUAAUAAAUUAGGCUUCACGUGACCUUCCUUUUGUGAUUCCUUUUCCACUUCAGGGGUUCCUUUGAUAUUCAUUUCAGCAAGAUUCUGCACAGGCAAACAGUGUCAUGUUAAAGGGGUUGUCCUUACAGCAGCAGACGAUUGCAGUGAUUCCUAUAGUGUGGGAGGGGUGGCCCCAAGGAGAGGAGAAAGAGGAACUAUGGCUGGAGCUGAAGCACUAGGUCACGUCCAACAGAGAAGCACCACCAGGUGCCUCUGCAGUCAGAGAAGCACUGCUCUUUAGGUCUACUCUUCCCUGAAGUUUCACCACAUCUUCCUCCCUAGUCAUCUCCAAAGGCCUUUAUCUCCACCAUGAAGGCCCUCUGGCCUCUAGAAGUCUUAUCGUGACUGAACUGGAUGCACACUAUACCCUACCCCCCUCUAGCUUCAGAGCUCCAACUGCAACACCAGUGUCUCAUACCACAGCCACAUUCUCUUCUGGGCCUGACAUAUGGCAUGUGCUUGAUAAAUAUUUAUAGAUAAUAGAAAUCUGAGGCCUAUGCCCAGUGGUCUUCUAGCUAAUUUAGUAACUCUUCCCAUAUUUCCUUAAACAUAAACAAAGACAAGUCAGCAGGAACCAACCAGAAGUAUGUGACCAAAUCUGUUUGAUGGCAGAAGUUGAUCUUUCCAAAUGGAAAAUAGUCUUGAAUUUCUGCUAGUUAUCUUUUCCAUUCUCCAUAUGUGCCAAUUAUUUUUUCCAUUUACAUACAUAUUCUUGGUGACCUCUAAGUGAAUGUCAGAAAACAUUCCACAGAAGAAAGAAUUGCCAAGAUAUGUUCAGGUGCUGUAGGAGUAAGAAGGAGCAUUGUAUAAAGGCAGAGAAAUUAGCACAGGACCUGCCUUGAUCUUUAUUCACAAGACUCACAAUAUAGAGAUUAAAAAUCCUACCCAGGCAAUGGUUAAUGUCUGGGCCAAGUUAGAAUAACAUUUUUACACCGAUCCUAGACCUUUGCAAUUAAACAUGCUUUAGAAAAAUCUAGCCCAACUCCUUGUAUCAUUCAUCCCCAAGACUAUCCUUCAAAGUAACAUCCCCUUUAAAUGUAAUUUGAUAAUGAUCUAACUACAGAUCUUCUAAAAAGUGUAAUGCAGACUUUCUGUUAUUUAAAACUAAGAGUGAAUAAGCCAAUCAAAUGAAAUAAUAGCAGAGCUAGAAAUAGAAUUCACAACUCUAGAUGGCUGUCCUUGCACUCCAUUAACAUAUCUCAGCCUCCUGAAUAUAGAGCCCUGAUGUCUGAUCAGCCCAUGUUGUGGGACCUCUGUCUGAGAAAGGGUCCUUUCAGUUCUCAAUUCUAUACACAAACUUAUUGGCCUCUUCUGAACUGAGCUGUCUCUUUGCUCUGGGAAACCUAGACCAUCCUCACCCAGUAAACCCUUGCUAGUUUAUAUGACCAUGUUCUUUAAAGUAUCAAACAUAUUUACCGUCAUCUUCCAGAUUAAUACAAAUAAUUACAAAUUUACUUGCUGGUAAACUACACCCUGAAUUACUGCAUUAAGGCCCAUUAGAGUUUUAUUGCAACCUCAAUAGAAAAAUCCCUGAGGUCUAGUCAAGGGAAAAAAAAAAUGUUUUUAAAACUCUGGUUUGUUAAAAAAAUAUGUUUAAUUAUAAAUGCUAUUGUAAAUAUUAGUUCAAUUAAAAUAAAUAUUCCUUUUCUUCAGAAAGAUAACUAACUGGAGUUUUACUAAGAAACACAAAAUCCAGCCUAGAGUGUGCUAAAUUUGCUGCAAUUUAAUUAGUCUGACCACUCACCUCUUAAUCAGAGGCUUGGGGUGUAAAACAAGAGCGUUUACUACACUCCUAGGUGUAUGAUCCCAAUCUGACUGCGUGAGAGUCAAAAUAAGCAACAAAAUCACAGAAAAUUACACAGACACACAACACACAGAGUCAGAUGUUGGGUUUCUGCUUUAGAAGAGCUGGCAACGCUGAGUUCACAGUCCCACAAAACUGCCAAUUUGUAGUAGCUGACGUAUUUUGGUAACGUCUGGGCUUUUUGAGUAUGCCACAGGCUAUACCACUCGCAGUUGUCUUCAACUCACUGGUUUGAGGAGCCUGCCUCACCUGCAGAGGCACUGAGUGUGGGCCUUUAUCACUGUUCGUACACAUGUAUAAUGCAUAUAUAUUUACAUAUAUUUAUUUACAUGCUUUUUUUUUUUGAACAUGGAACUAACCUUUGCCAGUUUUUAAAAAAAAAAAAAAUUUAAGUUUGUUUUGAGAAAGAGAAAGCAUGAGCAGGGAAGUGGAGAGAGAAGGAGAGAGAGAGAAUCCUAAGCAGGCUCUGCACUGUCAGUGCAGGGCUCGAAUCCACAAACCGGGAGAUCAUGACCUGAGCUAAAAUCAGGAGUCAGACGCUUAACUGAGCCACCCGGGUGCCCCAGACCUUUGCCAGUCUUUGACUGUCAUUCUUAGACAGUAUAACUAUGACCCUCCUUUGUACUAAAAAAUAUUCCAUUUUAUCUGCUUUGUGCUAAACCUGAAAAUCAGCAAAGUAACGUGCAAAAAAGAGUGAGAAGUGAAAGGGUCAACCGCAUUCAAAGCAGCCCACGACUGUUUAUGCUGGCAUCAUUUUGCCCUGAAGAUUUUUCCUACUCCUUGCUGGGAGCAUUCUAACAUAAAACAUUUAUUCUGGUUUUCAGAUUCAAACACAUUCUAGUCUAACCACCUGUGUAUGCAAUUGAUUUGGUUUUCACUUUGAGCUUCAUCCCUGAACCAGACCUGGCACCUGUGGAAGAAAAUACCGGGGGCUAAAAUAGAGUGAGGAAGGCCACAAAAUAGUGUAAUAUCCUCUCACUGUGGUUCAUAGGGGAUGCUGUUUCAGGGUGUGCAUUUCAUCUCACGAGACUCCAGACAACAGAAGAGCUAGACAAAAGGAAAACAUGUGAUGAAGCAGUAUUUAUAUUGCAAUCUUUCCAACAUUUCAGAAGGGAAUGGUUUACAGAUGUAUACCCUCCAAUGACAUUUACACAUCUAUUGUUUUCUUAACCCCCUUCUCCAUCCUAUUACAAGGUUCUUUUUGUGAAAAAGAUUACAAACUUCCCUGUGCUUUUCUGAGAUAAAGAACCCAUUUCCUCCUGAUUACAAGAGAAGACAUGAUGAGCUAUAUGAUAGGCCAAGUGUUAAUGUAAAAUCAGCCUCAGAAAAUGGAAUACUUUUAUGAUUACUUAAGCAUUUGUAUUUCACGCCAUAAAUUUUUCCCUGUCUGAGACAGACCACUUAACCCAGUCUUAGAACAUCAAGCUGCUAAUUUACACAGUUUUCUGACAGGAAACCAUCUACGGCAAUGAGUGCACAGUAGGAAAUUUUAAUAGGAGCCCAUCUGGACUUCUGGCUAUUGAACACAAUUUCUUCUUAAUCAUCUAUUAAAGAGAGAUACCAUAAAGAUGAGUUACCAUCUCUUGGUCAUAAAUUUCAGGAGUUUUAUAAAGAGCCACUUAUUUUUUCACCUUUUUUCAUCUAUUUUCAACAAGGUAAUUCAUCAACAUUUAACUUAGUGUUUUCCUGCCUCAUUAUGACUCUCCAAGAAUUUAAAGUGCUGUUAAGGAUCAUAGUUGUUGCCUUCAGAAAAGGGUAUCUGUCCUGGACACAUGCUUUCUAUUAAUUGAGGCCUCUGGAUUCCUUUAUGAUGAAAUCUAUCUUCUUCCAAAAAUCAGAUUUCAGAGUUUUGUGUGUGUUUAAAGAUUUUUUUUUUCAAAAUAAUCCUUUUCUGGUUAUCCAAAAUUCAUAUAAUAAAAAUGAAAUUCUGAUUAUUUAGCAAAUUGAGAAUUUUUGUUGUUGAAUUAUGUUAAGUAACUUAAAGACAUGAGCAUCUGAAGACUUCUUUCUUUCCUCUAGCCCUUUGCUCCCUUACUUCCUUCAUUCAAGUCUUGGUUCAAAUAACCUCAGUAAAGCCUUCCUUGAUAUACCCUAUCUUAUAUUAUUAUAAUUGUGCCCCACCCUCAUUUUUUCUGAGUCUUUCCCCACACUUCAUUUCAUUCUGAUACACUAUGUAUUUAAUUAUUUCUUUUCCUGUCUUUUUCUAACCGUUAGAAUGUGAGCUCCAUGAGAACAGGGGUUUUCCAUUGGUUCUCUCCCUUCUGUUCUCCAGAGCAUGAUACACAAUAGUUGUUGAAAAACAUUUGUUGAAUAAAUGCAUAUAGAGGAAAUUAUUUGGCAAAUCCAUAAAACAAAACAGUAAUAAUAGAUUAGAAUCAAGAAUUAUGCAUGACACAUAGUAAGUACUCAAAUAGAUUUUUGUUAAAUGAGUGAUAAAUUGGACACAAAAAUGAUAAAAAAGAAAGAAAAAAAACAUAGGCAAAGAACUAAAUCAGAGGGAAAGAGCUAGGAUAAUUACAUGGUCACUUUCUGAAAAGAAGUUGAGAUACUAAAGAUAGGUUAUGAACACUGGUUUUCUGUACAGAGCAAAUUUGCUAAGGAAGAAAAGAAGAAAAAUAGAAAAUCCCAUGGAAGAAAUGUUACAAUGUUAAAAUAGUGUUUAAAAGCUCCUUUAAGUGGCACCUGAGUGGCUCAGUCAGUUGAGUGUCUGACUCUUUUUUUUAAUGUUUAUUUUAUUUUUGUGACAGAGAGAGAGAGAGAACAAGCAAGAGCAUGAGUGGGGGAGGGGCAGAGAGCAAGAGAAAAGGGGACACUCAGAAUCUGAAACAGGCUCCAGGCUUCAGCUGUCAGCACAGAGCCCAACGAGGGGCUCGAACCCACCAACAGUGAGAUCAUGACCUGAGCCAAAGUAGGAUGCUUAACCGACUGAGCCACCCAGGUAACCUGAGGGUCUGACUCUUGAUCUCCACUCAGGUCUUAAUGUCAUGUUUUAUGAGGUGGAGCCCCAUGCCGGGUUUCAUGCUAACAGCACUGAGCCUGCUUGGGAUUUUCUCUCUCUCUCUCUCUGCCCCUCCCCUGCUCUCUCUCUGUCAGCAUAAACAAACAUUUUAAAAAUAAAAAAUAGGGGCACCUGGGUGGCUCAGUUGGUUGCGUGGCCAACUUUGGUUCAGGUCAUGAUCUCAUGGUUCAUGGGUUCCAGCCCUGCAUCGGGCUAUGUGCUGACAGCUCAGAGCCUGGAGCCUGCUUUGGAUUCUGGGUCUCCCUCUCUCUUUGCCCCUCCCCUGCUCACUCUCUGUGUCUCUCUCUCUCUCAAAAAUAAAUAAAAAUUAAAAUUUUUUUUAAUAAAAAAAAAUCUCCUUUAAAUAAAAUAUUUUAAAUAUGAUUUUCAAAAAUGUCUACUACCUAAAAAUGGUUAGGAUGAUACAUAAAGGACAAAGAAGGAAAUAAAAUCACCUACUGUUACAUCCUUUAAAAUCCAGCUCUGUAACUAUGUGGGUAUACUGAAUAUACUUAGAUUAUUUUUCUAUGAAGUUUACAUACAAAUUCUAAUAAACAGGAGCAAAAAAAUUAUGUACUGUGAUGGUUCAUUUUAGGUCAACCUGACUGCCCAGACAUUUGGUAAACCAUGAUUUCUGAGAGUGUCUGUGAAGGUGUUCCUGAAGAGAUUAGCUUCUGAAUCAGCAGACCACAUAAGGAAGAUCACUGUCACCAGUGAAGGGGGGCACCAGCCAGUAUAUUUGAGGGCCUAAAAAGAACAUCAUGGUGGAGGAAGGGCAAAUUCUCUUUCUGCUUGAGCCGAGACAUCCAUCUUCUACUGCCUUAAGACAGCGGGCUUUCAGGCUCAGACUGAGACUUAAAAGAUCGGUACCUAGAUUCUCAGCCCAUCAGACUCAAAUGAAUUCCACUACUGGCUUUCCUUGUUCCAGCUUGUACUCAGCAGAUAGUGGGACUUCUUGGCCUCCAUAACCACAUGACCCAAUCCUUUAAUAAAUCUCCUUUUCUAUAUCUACAUCUGUAUCACCUAUUUCUUUUUUGUUGUUGUUUGUUUGCUUUUAACUAGGCUCCAUGCCCAAGGUAGGAAUUGAACUCAUGAUCCCGAGAUGAAGACUUGCAUGCUUGGGGUACGUGGGUGGCUCCAUCAGUUGAGCAUCGGACUUCGGCUCAGGUCGUGAUCUCACAGUUAGUGGGGUUCAAGCCCCGUGUCAGGCUCUGCGCUGACAGUUCAGAGCAUGGAGCCUACUUCAGAUUCUGUGUCUCCCUCUGUCUCUGCCCUUCCUUGCUUGCACUGUCUGUCUGUCUGUCUCUCUCUCAAAUAAACAUUAAAAAUUAAAAAUUUAAAAAAAGUCACAUUCUCUACCCACUGAGCCAGCUAGGCGCCCCUAUGCCAUCUAUUUCUAUAUCAUCUCUAUCCAUACCAUCUAUUUCUAUCUAUCCUAUUGGUGCUGUUUCUCUGGAAAAUCCUAAUGUAUAUGCAUUUUUUUUCUUACAAGGACAAUAUAUUAUGAUCAUUGGAUAGUCUUCUGUGCAUCCUGUCAAUUCAAUUUCUUGGUACUUCUUUGUGCACAGAUACACCUUAAUUUUUCUAGGCAGUUUUCUCUUGUUAAAUAUUUAGAUUAGUGCAAAUGUGUGCCUUUUCUAAAUUAGGUUAUAACCAUUCUUUGGGAUAAUUCUUUGCCUGUAUCUGUGAUAGUUUUAAGAUCUUAGAAAUAAAAAAUAAAAAAUACUUUAAAAAUUUUUAUAGAGAAAAAAAAACUUUUAUAGAGAUUACUGUAUUUCCUCCAGAAGUAUCAAACCAUUUUGAACUUCCAUUCGCAAUAUUUGCCUAUGCCCAGUUUCUUGUGAUUUCUUAAUCAUGACUUAAAAACACAUAUAUUUACCACUUUGAUAAAUUAAAAAUAAAAUGGAAGUUUGGUUAUAGCAAGACAGUGGAGAGAUGGAUAUUCAGGGAGACCAAACAACACAAUUUGGGAUGAAAUUCCACAACAGUACAUUUAAUUUGCAUUUUUUCAUUUGGUUACUUUAUAUAUUAAAUAGACCAUCAAGGUUGCAGCCCCCUAGACUAAUUUGUAAUCAUAAACCAUGCCAUCUGUACUAUCAGUGCCUUGUGCAUAGAGAUUUUAUGUAAUAAACAGUCCUCUACUUUUCUACAAAUCACCUGGGCAAUUUAUAAACAUUAAUUGCAGUUCAUGCUCCCCUGUUUUUAAUAUCUCUCUGCAGAAGAACAGACCUUAUGCCAGAGCGUGAGUGUGCUAGACAGGAAGAGAGUCAAAGUGUAAUAGAUACGUUCAAAUUUAACACAAUAUCUAAGAGCAAACUGAAGCUGAAGCAGAGGGUAGAUUUAUUUUUUAGUAUGUCAUGAUGAUAAGUCUUGCUAUUUAAGGUAUUUGCCAAGCCCAGUGAGCAUAUAAACCCACAAUGCUAUUAAUGAUUACUGAUAAUAACCAAUUUAUUAUAAUGAUAUCUGAUUCACGAUUAUCAUUUAUAUGUUGGUGAGUUGCUUUUCAUCCAAGAGUAAAACUCAUCUCUCUUUCAAUUAAAUUUCUACUUCUUUUUAAUUUUAGGGUGCUCUAAGCCUAUGCUCCUCAAAGUGGACCAGCAGCAUCCAUACCAACUGGAAAUAUUGGAAGUAUAGACUUUUAGAAACCACCCUAGACCUACAGAUCAGAAUCUGCAUUUUCACCAGAUCCCCAGGUGAUUUAUGUGCACAGUGAAGCUUGAGAAGCAUGGGGCAUUAAUUCAUAUUGAUAAUGUAGUGCAAGCAUGGUCAAAUUGCCAGGCUCUCAACUGUCCAUUUCUUGCUACAUGUAGCACAUUAUGCUUAGGUGCCAAUGGAGUCCAUCUUCAGAAGGUGAAGAACAAGAAUAAUAUAGGAAUUUGCAUAAAUAUCUCAAGAGCAAGCUUGUUAGAAAAACUGCCAAACAAAAAAUUAUCUGAAAAUAAUAAUAGCCCAGGAUUAAGUAAACUUAUAAUAAGCUUAUCAUUAAAAUUUGUUUCUAAAUAAUGUGGGUGAAAAGUAGUAAUUUGAAACUAAAUCCUAAAGUUAGUUCUCAACAUCAUUGAUAGAACAAAUGAUCACUGGUCAUUUUCCACAAGCUUUCCAGAAAUUAUGAAACUCUUUCCUUGAGGUUUUCUUCCACUUAUCUGUUGCUGGGUAACAAACCACUCCAGAACACAGUGGCUUCAAACUACAAUUUCUUAUUUUCUUUCAUGAUUCUGUGUGUUGGCAAGGCUCAACUAGGAAGCUGUUAUUUGAGGUCUCCCAGGCAGCUGCAUUAGGAUGGCAAGUGUACCUCCAGUCACCUGAGGGCUCUCCUGGUUAGAUGUCAAAGAUGGUUGGCUCUUGUGGCUGGGAGCUGGUGUGGGCUAUGGUUGACAGCUACACUCUGGAGUAUACUCUGACUAGAGUACCUACACAUGGGCUGCACAUGUGGCUAGGUUCUUCUCAAAGUAUGGUGCUGCGUUUGGAGAGGGAGUGUCCCAAGAGCAAAAAUUCCAAGAAAACCAGGAGAAAACUGCAAGGCUCCUUAUGUCUGAGCCUCAGAAGCCCCAAACAUAACUUCUUCCAUGUUCUAUUGAUCUUGUAGGUCACUAAGUCCAGCCCAGAUUCAAGGGAGAGGGGAAGUCAAUAUCACCCCGUGAGAACCAUUUUUAGUCUACCACAAGUUUUUUCAAAAGUAGAGUAACUUUCUUGACAAGCCCCAUUUUCUGCCUACCAUACCACACCCAGACCCACCUAUCCAACACAGAAAAGCAUUCAGUGGAACCAGAGUUUCGGUCCUGUAUAGUCCACUUAAAAAAUUAUCAAAAACACCAUCAUCCUGUGUUGGGUGACAUAGGCCUUUGUGUAUAUGUUAAUAUUUGAGGAGAACUCAGAAGUAUCCUUUACCUAAAAGAGAUGUUUCUCUAUGUGAUGGUUAUACAAUUUCUCUCUUCCUCAAGUUCCAUUCUCUGUGCUACUCCAACCCACUCAGUGUCAGUUGAGCUACAGGUUCUACCAUCUGGACCUUCUGGCUUUGGGGUCCCAACUGGGUUUGACCAAUGGCAGCCACUUACCUACUGUUUCUUCCCUUCCUCCUCCCACCUUCCACAGUGCUUUUCUGGCAGCAGCUGCACCUACUACCCCUGCCUCUCAUGCUUCCUCCACAGUUCCACUUCCCACUUGACUGUCACCUCUUUACUCCCCUUCUCUUUAGUUCUUCUAUGUGUGAUAAUGACUUCCUACUGUUGCUAGAUUCUGAAUAACCCACCAUCCAGACAUUAGGGGAAAAAUGUUUUAUUCAAAAAUAGUUUUUUCCCUACCUCAGGGCACCUGGGUGGCCCAGUCAGUUAAGUAUCUCUUUUUUUUUUUUUUAACGUUUAUUUAUUUUUGAGACACACACAGAGCAUGAACGGGGGAGGGGCAGAGAGAGAGGGAGACACAGAAUUGGAAGUAGGCUCCAGGCUCCAAGCCAUCAGCCCAGAGCCCGACGCAGGGCUCUAACUCCAGGACCGCGAGAUCAUGACCUGAGUCGAAGUCGGAUGCUUAACCGACUGAGCCACCCAGGUGCCCCAGUAUAUGACUCUUGACUUCAGCUCAGGUCAUGAUCCCAUGGUUCCUGAGAUCAAGCCCUGUGUCAGGUUCUGCACUUGAUGUGGAACCUGUUUAGGAUUCUCUCUCUUCCUCUCUCUCUGCUCCUCCCCUGUGCAUUCUUUCUCACUCUCUCAGACUAAAAACAUUUUUAAAAAGGAAAUUCCCAGAGAAUUAAAAACUUUUUUUAAUGUUUUUUUUUCUCAAAAGAAUAUUUUCCUGUCCAGCUACUAGUGAAAUAAUAAAAAACAAAAUUAUAAUAUGCGAAUAUAAAUAUGUAUAUAAGUCUGGAACUUUUGUUGCUGGGAGAAAAAGUAUAGUUUUAAGUGAGUAAAAUCCCACCCAUCAUAAGUGGAGCCCAGAAAAAAAAGAUCACUGGAGACUUCCUUCACUUGUGUGCCUGACAGGCUCUUCAUUUUGCUAUAAAAUAUUUUCAAAGAAUUAUUUCCCUUGUAAAAACUAAGGGAGGGCUCAGAGUGGCUCUCAGAGGCCAAAACCUGCUAGGACUAUAAAAAUGGCUGCACACAACUCUUUGGUCAGAAUUAUGUUGCUUGACCAUUUGGCUUUAAGAGAAUAUUUAAUACUCUUUUCUAAUCUGGCAGUCAUGUUAUGAAAUGAAAUACUGUGGAAUGACAUUAUCAAGAUGGCAAAACAGGAGGUCCCCUGCCAGUUGCCUCCCUCAUUUUUUAAAGAGCUAUUAAUUUUUGACAAUUCACACUUAGUGAUAAUGUAAUGAGCUAUUAGUUAUAUUGUUAAGCCCCUAAUAUUUUCACCAUUAAAUAACAUAUAAAGGAUAUGCACAGUAAAUGAGCAACAUACUGAUAACUACUAUUACUAUUAUUCUUUGCUCAGAAGAUGUUUUAAGAAUCUCUUUUCAUUACUUAAUAGAAAAUGAAACCAUAAUAGUGUUUACACUGUAAUCACAAAAGAAAAUAGUAUAUGGAAAGCCGGCAUAACUAUAAUUAACACUAUUUUGUAAAAUAUAUUUUGUGGUGAAAUAACUUCAAUAUUGGGGCCAUUUUAAAAUGUAAGUUCAAAAGGGAAACCAUAGAUUUCCCACUUAUUUUUCUUUGAUGAAUUCUGUAUUCACAGAUGGUACAGAUAUUUUAGCAUUCUAAACUAAAGCAUCUCUAUUUAUGAUUUUGUCUUGGAAGUCUCUUUCGUGGUUAGACCACAUUUUGUAUACUUCCGACAAUGGACAUAUGAUCUGAGCUUAGCCAAGGCAAGGGGUAGGCCACAUGAAACAUCAUCAAGGCAGCAAGCUGUUGCUGCCAAGAAGUUGGAAAAGACAAUUUAACAGGUCAUGAAGAAAAUUAGGACCCAGAUUAACCAACAAAGCAUUCAGUGAAUAGAAAAAUAAGUAUGUGAUGCUCAUACAGAGUCAAUAUGGGCCUCAAAGGAAACUUAUUUAUAUGGAAGAGUGAGAUAGGAAUGUCAUAUUUAAUGUUUUUUUUUUGUUUUUUUUUUUUUUUUUACCACGAGGGGAAGAAAAUGGUUAGGGAAGAAUUAACCUGUUUGGAAUAAUCACAUUUCUAAAAAUAAAUUUACAGUUUCCUUAAGUGACAUGUUUUUGCAUAACAUUGCCAAAAUACUUAUUCUUCCUCCUUAUUUAAAGACAUUCCCCUUGCACCAAGGAUAAGCCUCUUGUUGAAACACAGCAUAAAGAAUGAUAUCGUUUCAUGUUUUUUAAUUUUCAAAUAUUUUGGUUGAAAAUUUACAAAUGGAUUUGGUGAAAAUUCUUGAGCCAAAAACUGGAAUUAUUCACCAUGAAAAAACAAAAUCAGCACCUUAUUAUACAGAUGUGACAUUCUUAUAAAAUUUACACUGACUUAGAAAAUAGAAACAUUAAGAAAUUAACUGAUUAUGACACAAUUUUCAAAUCAACCUUGGUUAAUCCAAAUCCUUCUGGGAAAAGCCUGAUACAAAAUUAUUAGUAGAGUCUUCCACCUUGCUGUGUUAGCAUAUCUGGAACUGAACUUGUCCUCUCAUGAGAAACAACCGGAAGACUGGACAACAUACAUAAAAGAGUCAUUCUGAACACUGAACAACUAGCAGUGCAAGACUGCAAUGUAAGAAAGAAUAUAAAACAAACGAGAUAAGCCCCACAAUCCACCAGCUCUUUUGCCAGGAGGCAGGUCACAGACUGUGGCACAGCAAGAGAGCUCAACAAGAGCUGGAAGCUCCCACUGGAUGAGAAGAUAAGAGAUCAGAUUUGGGAAGAUGGAGAAGGCUAGAUUUUGUGGGGCAGAGUACUACAGAUGAAAGAGCUCCAGGAAUCAAUAUACAGGAUCUUUUUGAGUCUGUUUCUAAAUACUAAGGCCCACGUGAAUAGGGUAAAAUUUCCUGAUGCUGGGCAAAGAAUUCUCAGGAAGAUUUAAUUUAAAUAAUUGCAAGAAUGUAGACAAGGCUAGUGGAUAUUCAAGCAAGAGUUCAGUGACCUUAACAGAUACAUGGAACAUUCAUUAGAGGCCUCAGAGUUAAAUUUAGAGUAAGGCUAACUUAGUACUAUGAUAACCAGUAGUAUGGAUAUGCCCUAACAAAUAUUAAAAACAAACAUGGAAAGAACUGAGCUGAUUUGAAAGUUACUUAACUUCCUGCCAAAACAAAGCUCAACAUUUUUUAAGAUAAACAACAAAAUCUAGACACUCAAAAACAUUAUGCUCACAAUGUCUAUUAUCUAAUCAAAAAUGACGAGACAUAUAAAGAAGCAAGAAACUGUAACACAUCACCUAUUAAUCUAUUAAUAUAAGUAGAAAUAAAGAUGAUAGUUAUAGGAGACAAGGGUUUUAAAAGAGCUAUUACAAAUAAGCUCAAAUACUUAAAGGAAAACAUGAGUAUCAGGUUGAAAGAAACAGACAAUAUAAAAACAAACCAAAUGGAACUACUAAGAUAAAAAUUACCAUCUAUGAAAAAUUUAAAACUCACAAGACGAGUUUAACAGAUUAGACACUGAAAAAGGAACUUCAAAACAUUGCCAUAGAAGCCAUCUAAAAUAAAACAGAGUAAAAAAAUUUUUUAAAAGAAUGAACAGGGUCUCAGUGACCUAUGAGACACUGUCAAGUGGUCUAAUAUACUUAGAAUUGGAGUCUAUAUUAGUUUCCUAUAAAAAAUUAAACUUAAUGGCAUAAAAAACCCACAAAUUUAUUCUUACUGCUCUAAAGGUUAGAAGUCAGAAAUGGGUCUGAUGGGUUAAAAUUAAGGUAUAGGCAGAAUUGCAUUCUUUCUGGAGACUCUAGCAUAAAGAAUCCAUUUCCUUCCCCUUUCCAGCUCCUGGAAGUGGUCUGCAUUCCUUGGCUUGUGCCCAAUCUUCCCUUUUCAAAGCAUAGGACUCUAACUUCUUCCUCCAUUAUCAUAUCACCGGCUCACUCUGACCCUCCUACCUCCCUCUCCAAGGAAUCCUUAUUAUUAUACUGGAUAUCUGUCUGGAUAAUCAGGAGUCAUUUUCUCAUCUUAAAAUAAUUAUGUCUGCAAAUGUGAGGUAACAUAUGCCAGGUUCCAGGGAUUAGGGCAUGGACAUCUUUAGGAGGGCCAUUAUUCAGCCUACCCUAGAGUCCUGUAAGAAAAAGACAGGGAGGAUAGGCAAGAAAACAAAAUUUUUUUAAAAAACAAGAAUAGCUUACCUUUCUCUAAAUUUUAUAAAAAUUAUAAACUCACAAAUCCAAGAAGCACAAUAAAGCAGAGAAGAUAAACUACAUCAAGAAACAUUAUAAUCAAAUUUCUAGAAAUCAUUGAUGAAGAGGAGAUCUUAAAAGCAGGAACAAGGUAAGACAAAUGGGUGAAGAGGGAAGGCACAUGACUUAUAUAAAAACAAAGACUAGGGGUGCCUGGGUGGCUCAGUCAGUUAAGCAUCCAACUUCAGCUCAGGUCAUGAUCUCAUGGUUUGUGGGUUCAAGCCCCAUGUCGGGUUCUGUGCUGACAGCUCAGAGCCUGGAGCCUGCUUUGGAUUCUGUGUCUCCCUCUCUCUCUGCCCCUCCCCUGCUUGUGCUCUAUCUCUCUCUCUUGAAAAUAAACAAACAUUAAAAAAAAAAAAGACUAGAGUCUCCCCAGCCCUUUUGUCAGAAACAAUACAAGCCAGUAAACAAAAGAAUCUUUGAAAUACUGGGGAAAAUUUUUACUAUGCAAAAACUUCUUAACUUCCUGAAAGUAUAAUUUUAAAAUUAAGAUAAAAUAAACUCAUUUUCAACAUAAAAAUGCUGAGAAUUUCAUGUUUGUUAUUGGGGGGGAUUACAGCAAAAGUGCAUGAUAAGAAAUAUUAAAGGAAAUUCUGCAGGUAGAUGGAAAAUUAUAUCAGAUAAAAAUUCAAAUACAUUCAAAGAAAUGGAAAGCCAAAAAUGGUAAAUGUUUUUUUUUUUCUUUUUGUUUUAAUGUCAAUAAGAGAGAAUUAGUUGUUUAAGGCAGGGGUCAGCAAACAAUGGCCCAUACGCUAAAUAUGAGCGCCUGCCUCUUUUUGAAAAUAAACUAUACUGGAACAUAGCCAUGAUAGUUUGUUUGUAUUGUCUAUGACUGCUUUCAUACCACAAUGGCAGAGUUCAGUAGUUUUGAUAGAGACAUUAUGGCCUGCACAGCCUAAAAUAUUUACUAUAUAGCCCUUUAGGAAAGAAAAAAAUUGCCCUGGUUUAAAGAAAAGUAGUAGCAAUCCAUUGUGUAGUUUAUAAUAUAUGUAGAAACAAAAUGUAUGUCAAGUAACACAAAGAACAAGAGAGAAGAAAUGGUGGUUUAUUAUUUGUAAGGUUCUAACAUUACACUUGAAGUGGUAUAAUAUUAUUUGAAGGUAAACUAUAUAUAAGAAUGCAUAUUAUAUACCCCCACAAAACCAUUACUCAAAAAUAGGGCAAAGAUGUAUAGCAAUUAAGCCAAUAGUGGCACUAAAAUGGAACAUGAAAGUUACUCAUUAAGCUAAAAAAAGGCAGGACCUAAAUUUAAUGCACCCAAUUAAGGAGUUUCAAAUGCAUGUGACAAAAAUUGAUAGAACUAAAAGGAAAAUAAAAUUAACCCAUUAAUAUUAGUGAUGUCAGGAAAAAAAAAUAGAGAAAACAGUAAGAAUAUGUAUAUGUGAACAACAUUUGCAACUAAUGUAAAUAAACUGACAUUUAAAGAACACUUCACCCAACAACAAGAAAAUACAUAGUUUUUUCAAGUGUAAAUAUGGGACACAUGAAGACAUGCUAGGUCAGAGGCAAAUCUCAAUAAAUGUGAAGUAACUGAAAGUACAGAGUACGUUUUGCUAUCCAGUAAAAGCACACUUUCAGAACAAGUUUAAUAAAAUAUGCAGCCAUUAAAAUAAGUUUGAGAUAAUGAAUACCCUGUUUGGUUUGGAGGGCUUAGGCAAAACAAAAACCCUGAGUAUUAGUCCUUAAAAUUAACCUUAAUUAACAACCUCCAUUUGUUUAAUUAAAAAAUGUUCCAAUAUUAGGGCACUUGGGUGACUCAGUUGGUGAAACAUUUGACUUCAGCUCAGGUCAUGAUUUCACGGUUUGUGGUUAGAACCCUGCGUCGGAUUCUGUGCUGACAGCUCAGAGCCUACAGCCUGCUUCAGAUUUUCUGUCUUCCUCUCUCUGCCCCUCCCCUGCCCAUGUUGUCUCUCUUUCAUAAAUUAAAUAAAAACAUUAAAAAAAUGUUACAAUACUGAGUGGAAGUACUUAAUCCAUUUUUAAAAGCCAAGAAUUAUGUAAGUUAUUUAAGUUUUCCUUUUAUUUUGAUCAACUGGUAGAGACAGAGAAAACUGCCUUUUGACAGAGCAGAAAAUACUCCGUCACCAUCUAGCAGCUUGCCUUUUACCCAGAUGUGAUGCAGCCACAUGUAUUAUUACAAAGGCAGAUGGAACUAGAGCCACCAACUGCCAUUCAAUUAUUUUACAAUGUACAGACGUUGCUGCACAUGCAGUUGGAGCUUGAGAACCAUAUUAUUCUGUCAGGAACUAUGUCACACAGAGAAAAGAAUCCCAGCAACAAAUUAUUCGCAUGUGUUUUUGCUUUCUCUCUCUCUCUCCCUUCCUCUCUGACUAGAAUAUGUAGGUGUGUGUGUGUGUAUAAAAUAUUCAUAUGUAUAUUCAUACAUAGAUAGGUAUACAGUGUGUGUAUACAUGUAUGUAUGUGUAUGUGUGUGUGUGUGUAUAUAUAUAUAUAUAUAUAUAUAUUUAUAACUUCAAGAGAAUAUAGAUAUUUAGAGGAAAUAGAAAAAAAUUAGUUGAAAGAAGUCAGUCUUAGGGAGCCUAAGGGAUUUUAGUUCAGAGAAUGCAAAGUUUAGGAAAAGAAAAUAAAACCAGGUUCAGUUUUUUUAAAAAGAAGUUAUAUAAUUAUAUGCAGUAUUAAUAUACAUUAUUAUAUAUUUUAUAUAUUACACAUAAUAAAUGUUCACUUAUCACUAUAAAUAUGUAAUCAGAAUAAAACAUUUAUGUGAAAUAUUUAGAGUAAGAUUUCUGGCCCAAGAGUGUAAAGUAGAUGCAAAGUACCGUAUUAGGGAAAGAAGGUAGGAUCCAGGCCAAAACCUGAGCAUAACAAGAUAGCAUCAGUUUAAAAAACCCAAAGAUUAGAAUACUAAUGAAGCAUUUUAUCCACCUCCUGCCUCCAACAGUGGUCACAUCCAAAUCUAAUAGAAAGAAGUUAUAUUAGGGGCACCUGGGUGACUUAGUCGGUUAAGUGUACGAUUUUGGCUCAGGUCAUGAUCUCAUGGCUCAUGAGUUCAAGUCCCCUAUUGAUUUCUGUGCAUCAGAUUAGAGCUUCGAGCCUGCUUUGGAUUCUGUCUCCCUCUCUCUCUGCCCCUCCCCCACUUGCGUGCACACGCUCGUGCUCUCUCUCUCUUAAAAAUAAACAUUAAAAAAACAUUUUUAAAAGCCUUAAUAGGGACCCCAAUUUCUAGAAAAUACUGAGUGGACUCAAGCAAAAUCAUUCUUUGUUUUUUUUUUUUCUUUUAGUUUAGUUUAUUUAUUUUGAGAGAGAGAGAGAGAGAGAGAAUGCACCCGCCCAGGAGUGGGGAGGGGCAAAGAGAGAGGCAGUGAAAAAUCUCAAGCAGAAUCCACGAUGUCAGCGCAGAGACACGAUGUCAACUCAGAGCUCGAACCCAGGAACCAUGAGAUCAUGAGCUGAGCCAAAAUCAAGAGUCAUAUGCUUAACAGACUGAGCCACCCAGGUGCCCUUCAAGUAAAAUCAUUCUUAAGAGAAUGUAAAUAUCUCCCUUUGUUCUAUAUUUUCAUAUUUGUGGAAAUUACACAAGACUGAAGUUAUCCAACUUCCUCUUCAAAUCUGGCAUAUUUUCACCAGUGUGCCAGCUGGGGUGGUCAACUAUUAUGAGAAUUAUGAUCCCCACAGCUGCUUAGUAUGUUAUUAAACAGCACAGUCUAGAGAUGGAGAAUGUCAGCUGCCAGCAUUCAGAUCUCAGCUCCGCCACAACCUAGCUGUGUGACCCUGAGCAAGUUACUUUAUGACUCUGUGCCUCAGUUUGCUUAUGGCUGAAAUGAGGGUACCAUAGAGAUAUUAUAAGGAUUAGAUGACAUAUCUGCAGAGUGCUCAAAACAAUACCUGGAAAAUAGUAAGUCCUAUAUAACCCUUGUUAAAAAUUAUAAAAGAAAAGCUCAUUCAGGUAGAUUCUUAUUUCAAAGAUUUAGAGGGGCACCUGGGUGGCUCAGUUAAGCGUCCGACUCCAUCUCAGGUCAUGAUCUCACGGUCCAUGAGUUUGAGCCCCGCGUCAGGCUCUGUGCUGUCAGCUCAGACCAUGGAGCCUGUUUCAGAUUCUGUGUCUCCCUCUCUCUCUGACCCUUCCCUGUUCAUGCUCUGUCUCUGUCUCAAAAAUAAAUAAACGUUAAAAAAAAAAAAAAGAUUUAGAGACUAAUAUUUUCCCUCCUCUUUUCUCCCUUGGGGAGAAAAAAAAACAUUUUAAGAUGAGCCUUAAAAUAGAAAAACACUCCAGUGAUGAUAAUGGAGGUUUAUUCUUCUACAAAUCAUGGCAAAAUAAUUUCUGAAGACUAGAGAGGAAAAAAAGCAUUAUUUUUCUGUCAGAAACGUGAAGGGUUAUCUGCCACUUCAACCACAAAGGCAACGUUAACCAAAAAACUUAGUUGGUGUGGGCUCUGAGAUUACAUAACUAUCAAUUUAUAUCAUUUCCUGUCCUAGUUUUCAGACAUAAAUAAAAGUCUUCUACUCACAUAUUUAAAAUAUCAUCCCGUUACAUGAUGUUUGUAAAUGAGAAUUUUGUAUCUUCUUGGGCAAUUUUUAUGUAACUUUUUACACUUUUAGUUAAAUGAUAUGAUCAGCUAAUAGAUAUUUUAAGUUUUCUUUAGGUAAUAAACUUGCAAUAGAGUAAUAUGAAGUCAAAUGUUUAAGACCAGUUGAAGAAAAAAGAACAAAAAAAAUUUUUUAAGUCAAACAUUCCUAUGGGAAUAAGCCAUUAAGUUGGUGGUCCUAUCAAGAUAUGUUAACUAAUGGCCACAUAACAAUGAGAGGAGUAUUUUAUAAAUAUUAUUUCAGAAACAUCUACACUUUGGGAGUAUUCCGUCCCAUGUUCUUACUGAAACACUGACUUUUUAAGAUAGAAUUGUUAGGAAAAUACAGACUGUUGAGGUUAGUAAUAUUGAGUUGGUGUGAAAUAAUUAAAAUGCUUACAUGAGAAUAACCUUUACCACCAUCAAUUUCUCCCCCAUAGACAUAAUAUUUUGGAUUCAGAAGCACACUGUGGAAUAAUGUUCACCAUGUCUUUUUCCUUUCAAAUACUAAUCAUGCCUUUCCAUCCUCUUUCAUUCAGGUUGGUUCAUUCAGAUAUCAUCAUCUUCCUUUUUGUAUCAUGUUUCUGUUUCCAAAAAAGGUGAGACUAAUAUUUGGAGAAUCUAUAAAAGCUAAACUGGAAGAAAAAGAGAGGAGAUUGGUGGUUGUCAGGGGCUGGAGGGUAGAGGAAACGGUGAGAUGUUGGUCAAAGGACCCAAACUUCCAGUUAUAAAUGAGUAAGUUCCAGGGAUGUCAUAUAUAACACAUGAUUAUAGUUGACAAUAGUACCUUGUAUACUUGGAAGUCUGUAAUGUAACUGGGGCUCCGGGGCUCCCACACAGACCAGGUUUGGCUACUCACAGCUGACAAAAUCCAAAGGCAGAGAGACAGUGGAGGUGAAACAAGAAAGGAAUUGAUUUCAGUGAGACCAACACCAGGAAGACAGAGAACUAAUGUCUCCAAAGUGCUGAAAAUACUUCUAGGUGUAUAUAAGGAAAAUAUGGGACAAAGGGCGGUGGGUACAUGCAGGUGGGCAGUAAAGGUCAGGUUGAUCAUUGCCCUGGGGUCAAUCACUGCAGGUCUUGCUGGCUCAGAACAGUUCUUAUUGUUUGAGGGGGCGGUUUCCAUUCCCUUUAUGGGAUGCUUUACCUGAGCUAAUAGAUAAGCUGGCAGGAACAACCAAUUAGAAAGUAGAAACUGAGGUCAAAAUGAAGGUCGUUGAAGUCUUCUUUCUCUAACAGAGCAAAUCUUAAAUGUUCUCAUCACACAUCAAAAAGGUAGCUAUGUGAGGUGAUGGAUGUGUUAACUAACCUUAUCAUAGCAAUUAUUUCACCAUAUAUACAUGUAUCAAAUCAACACAUUAUAUACCUUAAAUUUAUACAAUGUUAUAUAUUAAUUUUAUGUCAAUCAAACAGGAAGAAAAUAAAAGAUGUCAGAUAAUUUUCAGUAUAAGGAAGAAAAGUAAACUGGAUUUCACACAGUUUCAAGUGACCCAAAAAAUUAGUAUCAGACAUACUUAGGACAGUACAAGAAGCGCAGUCAUUAAUGAUAUUCUUUGUAGCAAUAAAUGGUUGAAAACAAAUAUCCAUCAAAAGAGGAAUGGAUAAAGUUACUGUGUUAAAGUUAUAUAAUAAAAUAUUAUGUAACACUUAAAAAAAUGAAACCUGUGUAUUUAUGGAUAUAUACAUCAACUUGAGAAUUCAAAACUUAACAUACAGUAUGAUAACAUGUAUAUAAAAUUUAAAGAGAAAUUUAAAGAGAAUGUGUUAUUUACAAAUACAUUUAUGAAUCUAUCUAGAAAAAAUAUAAGUGUUGCCAGGUGAACUGAGGUGACCCCAGGCCCUGAAGCCUCGACCCACCCAUCCCAAAGAUGUUGCCAAAUGUUUUUGAUCUCCAGGGGCUCCUGGCUGGCUCGGUUGGUUAAACAUCCAACUCUUGCUUUCGGCUCAGGUCAUGAUCUCAUGGUUUCAUGAGUUCAAGCCCCACAUCUGGCCCUGUGCUGGCAGCACAGAGCCUGCUUGGGAUUCUCUCUCUCGCCCUACUCCUCCCCGACUCACAAUGUCUCUCUCUCCAAAUAAACUUUAAAAAAAAAAAGGCUCUUGGUCUCCUCGUGAGAAAAGAAUUCCAGGGCAGGCACAACACAGAAGAUGAGGAACACAAGUGGGAACGUUUAUUAAAGUGAAAGUACACUCUCGAGAUGUCAGAGUGGGUGCACCCAGGAGAGAGCUGUGUGCCCUGGGGUUUGGGUUUCUAUCUUUUAUUGACAGUUGUUAACUAGGCGGCAGAAUAUUCAUUAUUUGGGACAGGGACUUCUUACCAACAGGACUUCCUGCCUUUUCUUCCCUGUUUGGCCAGGGGUUUCCUGUCAUGGCACCCACCAUCUUGGGCCUGUCUGGUUUGAUCCAGCUUCUUGUGGAGUGCAACAGACAGGCCUCUGACUAGCCUGUAAGCUGGCCAUGACUUUCUCUUUGCUGGCUUCCUGUUAGGCCCUCACUAACUCUAACAAAAGAGUUUACACCAGAUGUAUUAUUAUUGUUACUUCCAAGAAAGGGACCAGGAGUAAAAGGCUGCAACAGUAUCUUUAACAACUUAAUUAUUUAAAAAAUAUGUAAGUGACAAAAUAUUAACAUUUGUUAAAUCUGGAUAGUGUGUAUAUGUACUUGUUUCACUAUUUGCUGUGGUUUUCUAUACCUGACUGCACCACAAGCAAGCUAAUUAACAUGUCCAUCACCUCACAUAGUUACCUUUUGUUUUGCUUUGUUUUUACUGCAUACAUGAAAAUCCCCAGAACUGCCACUUUGUUAGUUACAACUUUGAUUUGAAGAGCCCAUAUCUGGUUAGCACAAGAGCCACAUGUUAUGGUGGAGCAGCUCACCAUUCUUGGGGAAGACGUGAUCGCUAAUGUUGCUAUUUCACCCAAAAUCACUGCAAGCUAGAGCAAGGGUUUGUUAAGUGGUCACUGUGUGAAAGCUUUGCUUCAAAAUAAUUUCCUUAAGUCCAAAAAUGUGCAAUAGCACUUUCUACUUUCAAUAAAAUAAUAUUUACUCUAAAUAAGUAACUUUUAAAAAUAGGGGGGCACUUGGGUGGCUCAGUUGGUUAAGUGUCUCACUCUUGAUUUCAGAUCAGGUCAUGAUCCCUGAGAUUGGGUUCCCCACUGACGGCGAGGAGCCUGCUUGAGAUUCUCUCUUUCCCUUUCUCUCUGCCCCUUUCCUGCAUGCACGUUCACUCUUGUUCUUUCUCUCAAAAUAAAUAAAUUUAAAGAAACUUUUGAAAAUUUUAAAAAGAAUAACAUUUAUGCUUAUUAUUAACACCAGGCUUGAAGUUAAGCCAAUAUUUAUCCUUAACUGAUGAAAAUAAUAUAUCUUAGAUUUGCAUAUGCCGUUGUUAGCAUCCCCAUCCAGCUCGAACUCUCAGGCAGAUGUGGUAGUGUCUAGUAAUUAGCCUCCAUUCAGAAGAGACACUUCAGCCUACAUAACAUUGAAUAUGGCAAGUUAUGCGACCCAAGACAAUGGAGUAGGGAAGUGCCCACCACACACAGGGAGGUAAAGAAGAACUGUGAACAAAUACUAUGAUGACCACACCAGCAUUCAUUAUAUUGAAUGCAUCUGUGUUAGUUUGGGUAAAAGAAGUGUAGGAGACAAAAAUAGGAGAAAUUUCACAAUGCAAACUCAUUUUCUGUGUUGUAAAAUAGAGGUAAUAACUAUACCAUGUUACUUUGGGUAAGGCCCUAAUUUGACUAAAAAUUGUUGUUCAGAGAGGUUUAGUAACUUCCUUAAGUUACCACAGCCGGCAAAUGGUAAAUGAUGGAUUUGAACACACGCUGGUCAUCAUUAAAAAACUCUGCUAUUGAUAUAGGAUAUGCUCCUAAGAUCAUAUCUAUAAAAUACUAUAGUGUUUCAACAUGAUCUUUUGCUUCACAAUCUAUUAAUCUGUGUACCCAGGACAGUUUCUAAAAGCUAUUUCCAGACAUGGAGACUUGCUUUAUAGUCUUUUAAAGCUUUGCUUCUGAACCCCAUGUUCAGCUGGCACCAAGCCUCCUGCCACUGAUAACAUUUACUACCAAAAGGACUUUACUAAGAUUUGAAAAUGUCUUGUGAUAAAGAUCCUUUAGUUAGAUUACAUCUUAGCCUCUGCCGGUGAUAACAGGAUUACAGUAUUUUAGGUAGCAGAGGAGAAAAGGGUCAAAUAUAAUGUACACGAAUGACAGUUCAAGAGAAACGUGCUUAGGAAAAAAAGAAAAUAUUAGUAUGACAUGUCAUUACUCUUACAUAAUACCUUUGGCACACACUAUUAUGAGAGACUAUCUAAUACAAUUCUUACUUAAGAAAAUUUUUAAAAAAUUCAGUUAGAAAAAGUGUAACAGUUUUCAAAGAUGCCAAUGUGUUUUCUUCUGGGAAUCUCAAGUUCAAGUCUGACCAUGUACCUGGCCAUCUUGCUGGAAAAAAAAAUAAUUAAUGACAUUUGGUUUAUUUAAAUAAAUUAAAAACAAAACUUAAAAAUAAAUCAAUAAAAUAAUGUGAGUUUCCAAAAUUCUACUGCCAAAAUAAACUUCUCUCAACAUUUUGGUCAUCACAUUCAACUGCCCUCUCUUCCCCCCUUAUAAAUGCUUAACUUUUGGAGGGAAUAUUCUUUACUGUAUAUUUUAACCCAGAAAAAAUACACACUAAAGAAUUUUUUUAGUUUCUUGGGACAGAUGGAAGGGGGAGAAAAAGCAACAAUAAACAUCAAAUGUCUUCCAUGAGCUGACAUUGUGCUAAAUGCUUAUCAAAAUCUUUCCUUAUAUAAUGCUUACCAAAAACUUCAGAAUGUAAAACAAAAUGAUGAUCAGAGUGUUCAAACGGCUUAUCCCAGGGCUGGAUGGAGAAAUUAGGGCUUACAUUAAUUCAGUUUAAGUCCUGAGCUAGUCUUUGUUCAAUUAAGACACAUCCACAAACCUAUAAUAGCCCCCAAUCCACCAUUUAUGAUCCCAGAAAUCUGAAAUCUGGAAAUUAUUAUUGCAGAACAUUCACUAUUGGAAUCAACUAAUCACAAAUAAACUGACAAACCCAACAGUAUUAACUUGAGCCUCUAAAUGCUCUACAAAAUCCAGGCCUUCAGGCCACUGUGAAGGCAGUUUGUUAGAGAAAGGCAGGCUAAUUGCCAAAGAUCACCUGAUCCCUUUUUUUCUUGGGCAUCCUGGUGGUCAAUGGGAGGAACUGUCUUGACUUCUUAGUCUUAGCAAGGCAGACAAGAGAAAUCAAUAUAUUUCCUACAUAAACCUAUACAAAAAUGAACUGGUCUUGCAGAUUUCAUUCAUACUGUCUUUUUCCCCAUCUUCUAAAAUUAUCAAUGAAUUUCAAUGAAAAUGUCCUUAAGUAUAUGAUGUUCUUCAAAAUCAGUGUCCCCUUCUGGGUCCCCUUUCUGGGAUUUCUCUACUUCAUCAUCCCUGUAGCAUCGAGGUUCACAAAGGAUGGCAAGAUGCAGCUAAAUAUGCACAAAUUCAGUAUCCUGUACCAUCAGGUCUCAGUUCUUUAUUUGCAUUAGGAAACAAUGAUUUCAUGAUGGUUCCCGAAAAAAGGAGAGGAAGAAAUAUCCUUAGAAGGAACAUGAAAUCAGGAAUUUAGGUAGAAUGACUCAGAAUGUUCAAGUUGUAGUGAUCUGAGAGGUCCAACCCUUUCAUUUAUAUGUAAGGACUCCAUGGACCAAAAGAAUUGGGUGAUUCAGGCAUGAUUAUACAACAGAUCCUACAGAGCCACGGCUCUAUCCCACUACAGUAAACUCAAUAAUACAAGAUAAAAAAAAAGACAAUAUUUGCUCUUGAAACUGUGCUACUAGAAUGGAUCAUUCAAGCUAUCUUCACAUAUUAGCUAAUAUGUUGAAGUUAAAAGAAAAUGCAGCUUUGCAUGAAUGUCAUAUAGGUCUUAAAACAAUUUUAUGUGACACAGAUAUAUGUAUAUAGAUACAUUUUCUUUUUAUAAGGUCUAAGCUUUUUUAAAUACAAAGAUACUAAUGAGACAAAUAAGUUCUAUAGCUCAAGCAGAGCAUUUAUGGGCCUUCUGCUUUGCAUUACCUUCCAAAACAUGUUCCAUCUCUUGUCCUCAAAAAAUGGAAAGUUAAGCUGGAAACAUCUUUUGGAGACCAGUGGCUCAAAUAACUUUCUUCCAAGUGCAAAAGAGACUCAUUAAAAUUUCUGGCACUCUGCUCCUAUUAUGCGUAAAGGAAUUGACAAAUUGCAUAAGAGUUCCCAUAAAAUCAUACUCCAGUGCAAAUUCUAGCUAAUAUUGUGAGAUGGUAGACUUUGGAAGUACUACAAAGGGUCACCCUGAUGCUACAAAGGAGUCUUUGAUCCUACCUCAUAGAGCAAGAUGACUUUCCUGCAGACUGGUUCGUAUUUAUUCAGUCAACUGGUUCAUAUUUAAUCAGUCAACUAAUAUGUCAACAAGACAUAUUUCUUGUGUCCAGUUGGGCGUAUGAAGAAAUAGGAAUUGCAUGCAGCCUAUAUCAACCAGGGCCUGGCCAAGAAAACUGGAAGUUUAACAGAAGCAUUUUAGUAUUGAGAGUUAGUUCAAAAGAAAGAGCUGUAAGGGGGGCCUAUAGGGCAACUCAGAGAUUAACAAUAGCAGAAAGCCACCAUUACCACUAGGAUCAGAGGGUUAAUGGGAGGUUGUUGCCAGAGACCAGAAGCUGACACCUAAAGGUACUUUUUAAAACCAUUUCAAGGGCUGCAUGGCAGGAUCUGGGAUAAUAAAACAGACAUAAUCACACAACACACUGCCUGAUACAGAGACAGAGACAGAGAUAGAGACAGAGACAGAGACAGAGAGAGAAAGGAGAAAUACCUCAGUCUGCCCCGACUCUUCCCUCCAGUUGUCCACUAAUGCUUCCUAUUGGCUGAAACUACCUUCUAACCAAUGGGAAAUGUACCUUCUAGUUCUUCUCUUAUACUCUGGUUAUUUAUUGCUGUGUAAUAAACUACACAAAUACAUGGUGUGGUAAAACUACAACCACUGCAUUAUGCUCACAGGUGUGGCAGCUAUGGCUAGUGUCUGCUCUGUGAUGUUUGGAGCCUCAGCUAGGACAACUCUAAGGAUUCUCUGUGCCUGCAUCGGGAUAGCUAAAGAAUGAAUUCAGCAUGGACUGUCAAUUGGAGUACCUAUAUGUGGCUUCUACUGUACUGUGGUUUCAGAGUGGCCAGACAUGGUUAUCACAUGGUUAUCUCUUAGGGAUCCAAGAGUGAAUCUGACCAGCAAACCAGGCUGAGUCUUUGAUGAGCCAUCAUGGGAAGUGAGUUGUGGUUUUAUAGCCUUGUGUUUUUGGUAGUAUGGCAUCACUUCUGCUGUACUCUAUAGACUGAAGAGGUCACAGCCCACAUAGAUUCACUGACAGGGGGCAUGCAGCCCAUCUCUGAAUGAGAAGCAUAUAAAAGAAUGCACUGCCAUGUUUUGAAACAAACUCUCCUGAGCACAGACAAAACCAACAUAAAUAAAGAACAAAAUUCAAAAAGGAAUGCAAGGACUCAACAACAAUACCAGAAGACAGUACAAAUGAUGUACAUCACCAUGCACUCAGAAUAACUGCCAAAUGAGUACCACAGACAAUAAAAGUUUCACAAGGUCUAGAAGGAUAAAUCAGUGAGAAGAAGUAAGCAUGGCUUCCAAAAACAUUUUCUAGCUUUCCUAAAGCUGAAGUACAGAAGUAUAGGGAAAUCCUCUAUUUCCCCCAAACUUUAGAAGAGCAUGUCACAUACAAGCUAGGUCCAAACCAAGGUGAAUUCUGAAUUCUUGGGAGGCCAGUCCUUCUGCUGACCUACCAUGCACACAAUUUUAUCUUCAGGAGCAGUAAUCUGCACUGAUGGCUGGACUUCCAUCCUCAACAGGAAGUUACCUCCGCUUUUUCCAGGUAUGCUAGAGAACUUCGGACCCUCUGUUAUUCAAAUAUAAAGCACUCCUGCUUCCUGCUGGCUCAGCCUCUACACUUGGCAUGGUUCUUCCUUGUUCCUCCCUCCUCUCUUUCCUUUUCUCCUUCAGUCAACUCAUGCCCUGCCUUGAAGACCUUUUAGUUUGGGGCUUACUUUGCAUUCUUAGCCUCACAUUCCAGUGGAACCUUUCAGCCUAAAGCAACUAUUACGUUCUUUUGUAGGAUGUGGUGAGUCCAGCAGUCUUCAGUUACCACUUGUAGACCUCCAGACCUCUCUGUGGUAAGGGGGGAGGAGCCUGGCCCAUUUCUGCCUGGGACAGAUGACUAAAGCAAAGCACAUGACCCAAAUUAGCAAAGGAUGGAGCAGGGACACAUGGAAAGAAUUUCCUUCAAACAAAUACAAGUUUUUUUGGACUUUUCUUUUAUGAUUCAACUCUUCUGUUGUUUGGCUAGAAGUUGGAGUCAUGGAAAAGAGAAAUGGCUGCUGGGUGGAUGGGAAAAGUUUGAAACUGAAGCUGAUCACCUGAGUGUGAAGAAAAUACAAAAUUAAUGCAUAUUCAAGAGGCAUCAUAGAGGUCUGUCAUGUAACUGUAUACCAUUAAACCAUCCCUGUGCCCUCUGUUCCAUUUGGGUUUCUAUUUUGGUUAACACAAAAGCACUUGUGACCGCAAAGGUUUUAUUUUAUGUGCAAACAGAAGGCUCUGGUGAGUGUCCAUCUCUAUAACAACCUCACAGAGAUGGAGCAGUAAGCUUUGCUAGGAAGCAGGCUUCCACUCAAUUAUAUACUGAGAAAAACAUCCAGAUCUUAAAGCCUAUAACUGACCUCUGCAGUGGAUUAGGAAAGGGUGAAGGCUCACAUCAAGAAUUCCUUUAGAUUUAGUAGUAUUUGACAGGUCUCAGUUGUUGACAAUAACUGUGAACUAAAUUCCUGAAAAAAUAGAAACAAUUUCUAAAAUGAUCAUGUGUUUUAAAGAAACUGGCCAAAGUUCAGUCUGUACUCAGCUCUUCAGAAACACACCCUCUCCACACAGUAUACAGUGAGAUUAAUAUGUGUAAAUUCUAGUACUUUACAACUGAAGUCCUCUGCUUCUGAGCCAACAAUAUUACAACUCAAUUCUUUUGCCCUACCUAAGACUCUGUGCCUAUUGUCAAGGGUAGUAAUUCUCUGUGGCCUUCUAUUUUAUAAGGCCAGGUAAAAUAAAAAGGAAACAGAACCACUGUCUUCAACUCCGCAGCUUUGUCUUUGAAUAUACUCUUCCCACAUUUUUACUUUUUAAUUUUUAUCUUACUUUCUCUUCACAGUGAUAACUAUAUUUAUCUGAGUGUUCAUUGCUUUUGAAUUAGAGUUUCCUUGAAUAAGAGUUAUCAGUUUCCUUUAACCUGAGGAAGCAUUAUGUUUUGUGCCUGCCCUUCAUCGUUAGGUAGGAUAGUAGAAAGCCCAAGUGUCACUCCUUGGCAAGAAUCAUCAAUUCUCCGUGUCCUGGUAAGCAAGGACAGCAGACAUAACUGAAGAAAUCAAGUGUGCAACACCUCCCAGAAGAGAUACAGGCCAACUUGGACAGAGAACUGUAAGUGUCACAAAGAAAAUUAUCUCCAGAGGGGUUAUCAUAAUACAUAAAUUCAGGUGAGCUUAUUAUAGCUGAAGAUGUUUACUCUGACACUGUUGCACUGACCCCCAAGGACAACCAAGACUCAUAAAUUCUGACUGUCCUGAAAGCACAUGGUACACUCCUACCCCACGCACACUUGAUUUCUAAGAUCUUGCUGUGUGGAGUGUGGUUUGUAGAUUAGUAGCAUCGGCAUCACCUGGAUGGAAAUGCCUCACCCCAGACUUAAUUAUUCCACAAGUUUUCCGGAAGAUUUCUGUGAUUGGUAUGCACAUUAGCACUGGAGAAGUUCUGGUCUAAAAGAUUCCCUCCAAAUUUGCUGUCUGGAGGCAAAGUGUAAAAAGUUCCCCCACCUGCUGAUUAAAGGAAGGGUCUGCUCACUUGUGAAGUGGAACAGACAGCAUUAAUAUAUAUAAACCAAGGCCCCUGUUAAGUCACUUUGGAAAUUCCCAAACUGUGAGUUGGAUUAGUCCAGAAGCUGUGGUUACCAGGCAAGUCAAGGGCCCAAACCACCUCAGAAAGAUUCCAAAAACACACUUGGUGUCACAGUUUCAAAACAAAGCUAGUAAUAUUUUAAUCCCCUCACCACAGGGCAUGUCUAAUAUAGCCUGUCAUGAGGCCAGUGAUUUAGAGAAAAGAAUCUGGAUUUCCCCUGUACCACUAGCUUUUUAAUAUUGAAAAAAAAAUAAAAUGUGUAUUGGAAAUAGCUGCAAAUGAGAGCAUUUCAAACAGAUUGCAGGCCUGCCUCCAACACUAAUGAUAAUUCAAGAUCAUUCAAUGGGUUUUAAUGUCAGGCUUUCUAGAUUGUUCACUUGAUGAUAUCACCACAUACUUUGAAAAUCCUUUUAAAAAUUACCAUAACAUUUAUGGAAAAAAAUAAACAGAGCUGAAACUUAUCCCACUCCAAAGGAUUUAAGAUUGUUAAACCCAGACUUCAUAUUCGUAAGAUACCACUCUCUCCCUGUGUCUUAGGAUUGCAAGAUCAAAAUUCUGCUCUGGAGGAAUUUCCUAUUUUAUCCAUAACAGUUUUAUAUUAAGAAGUUAAUGACUAUAGCAAGGUCUGAUCUAGUGAUAAUACCCAAGGUAAAUGAAGAAAUCAAAAUCAAUGAUGGGGCCAAGGAGACAUGCUAAUUUAGCUGCUUCUCAUCAAGAGCACCAGAAGUCCGGAGGAAUAGCACCCGUGGCCUGUUCAAACAUGUCGACCCAUUUGCAGUUGUCCUUGGGACUGCCUCACAAAGGAUUGAGGAUUAACCCCUUGGGUCCUCAUGUACCUGGCUUGAACCUGAUCAUCCUAGCACUGUAGCACGAGGCUGCUCCUCAUGUUCAGAUGAGAAUAAUUCUUUGACCACAAAUCAGUCAGGAGAGACUCCCUUUCAUCUGAGUUCCUUUUUAUGGAAAAUGAUUCUAGCUUCCAUCCUUACAGGAUUUAUCAUAAUUUUUCCCUUAAGUAUCAACAACCAGUGGUUUGAAUUUCUGAAUCCACCCUCCAAAACAACCAGCUCAUUGCCUUAUGAUUCAGUUUCUUGUUACUGAAUUUGUCUCACUGUAUCUCCAUUGCACCUAAGGUAACCAACUCAUCACACUUGACACUGAGUGUCUCCUGGCCCAAGUAACCCUCAAUCUCAGGCCAACUGGGUCUGUUGGUCACCUUAUGUACAUCUUUCUUCCUAUCACUGUCUACUUCCACCUGUAUCUCCAGCUCCUGCUGACAAAUACAUAUGUAUACAUUCUCUAUCUUCCAUGAUAUCCAUAUUGUGUUGGCUUUCUCUUCCUGCAAACCACAUCCCCCACAUACAACAUACACACCAUCUUUCUUUUCAUUUAAAUUUUGUUUGCUAAAUGUUUCUCCAACCCUAACCAACAGAGGGUUAGCAGAGUAAAUAGAGAAACAUUAGAACAUAUAAGGAUUUUAUACAAACCAAAAUAAUUAGCCAGGAAUAGGAUAAUGCCUGGAGUAAGAUAAAAGCUUUAAAGGAAGAGCAUGUUCUCUCCAAGCACGGUAGUAUAUUUUGCACUGGGUAAGAUAUGAACAAUUUUAGUGGGGAGAGGUCUGAGGGAGAACAUGUAAGUAUGAAUUUUGAAAUACCUGGGCAAAGAGAUCCCUAUGCAUGUUUCAUGCUGUCACUUUAUUUCCAGAUAGGAGAAGUGAGGUAAGUACUAAUACAAAAUUUAGUGACAAAGACUUUGAGCUGCAGGAAAAUUAGGUAAUUUGUAAAUUUUCUGAUUCGGCCAUUAAGCUAAUGUGGCAGAAUCGAGAUUCUGGAAGUAGAUCUCUUACAGAAUUACUACUCUUAUUUAGAAGACAGAGGACAUGAGCAGCUAUGCAUACGAAAAGUAUUUGGCAAAUUUUCAAAAGGUAAAUCAGCUCCUCUAGACUACAUGCUAGGAGAGAUCAGCUUAUAGAUCGGUUAGCUGAAUGAAGGACUGGAUGUUGCAUAUCUGCACGGGUAGGUUAGGGUAUAGAGGCCUAGAAAAGCCAUACUCAGAGAGUGUGGAUACCUCCUGGAUUGAGGGCUGGGAAGAGAAGAAUGGCAUCCUGGGUAGUAAGACUGUGGAGGAGUCACUGGUGUGAAUUGACAACAUCCCUCCAUACAGGGAAAGGGAAAGUGCUGAACCCAGCAUAUUUCAGUUUCUAGAUGCCUUGAGGAAGGCAUAAGGCAGGGGAGACUGUUGAUACGAAUCUGUUAAGUUUGGUGAGUUAAGUACAUCCGUGGAAAAACAUUAAAUAUAAUACUCUAUUUAUAAUGAGAAAGAUAUUAGUGGAAAUGUUACAAAUUAGGUGUAACUAUAUGAGCUAAAACCCAAAUGAAUUAUAAACCAUAUUUUAAAACCAAAAUGAGAAAUACCAAAAUGGGAUAGUAGAAUUUCUCACUGGCUUUGCUUCAAGGAAUCUAUUUAAAGUACUUAUGACUAUCUUAAUAAUUAAUCCAUAUUUGUCGAGUUUCUUUGCUCUUUGGUCUAGGCCAAGAAUUGGAGCCAGGGCAAUGGGGUACACCAGAAAUAUGAGAUAUGAAUUUUCAAUCUUGUUAAGAAGCCAGAAAAAAAAUAAAAAAAUUAAAAAAUUAAAAAUAAAAAAUUUAAAAAAAGAAGCCAGAACAUAUACAGGAAACCAAUAGAGAAAGAGAACACAGUAAUAAGAACCUAAAUAAACUACUCAGAAAAUUGGUCCUCCAGAGAUAGAAAGGAGCAGAUCACUAUAGUCUAGUUGGUGCUUGAAGAAAAUCUUACUCUAAGCAAGUUGUCACUAAUGUUGUAUAAACGUUCACAGAAAAAUGAUAAUAAAAUACGAGUUCUUAUUGUCUGCCAAGAACUGUGCCAAUGGUGUUAAAUGUAUCACCUCACUUACUCCUUCCAACAAUUAUAGAAAAGGGUGCCAUUUUUUAAGAGAGGAAAUUUAGGAACCGGUAAGUUAAUAAUUGAGAGAGAAGGGUUAAUUUGUCCAAGACUGACUCCUGAAGCCUGGCCUCUCCUAAAAGGAGUUUUCCUUCUGCAGUGCUCUGUGAGAAACCCACAAUGGUUAGUGUGCAAGCCAAUCAAUGCUUGGUAACAGCUUGGUUAACAGUUAAGGCCUGAAACGCAACCCCUCUUCCCCUCCACCCUCAGUCUUGCCAAUGGAGGCGUCUAUGCUUUACCAACCAAGAAUUCCAACAUGGCUGACCAUGCUGCUAACUCAUGUGAUCCAGUUGCAAUUACAAGUCUUGUAAUCCAACUUCUUGAUAAUGCCAGAGCAGGGGCUUGUGUCUCCCUUCCAUCCUCAUCACAGAUGAGGACUAAGCCGACUGCAGAAGGUCAGCACUAAGUUUCUGCUCUUCAUUUUACUAUCAUAUCCUAGUCCUUGAUCACAUCACAGUCUAGUCAUAUAGUAUCAAAGAUCCACAGCCCAAGGGUCAGAAGCUCUCCUGCAAAGUCAGAAGUCAGGCCCUGCCAAAUCCUACCUAGGUCACUGCCCCAUACUCAAUGAGGGUACCAGGAGACAUGUAUGUAUGUCUGCAAGUGAUCUGGGGCAGUGAGUUUCUCCAAUGAGGUACUGCUCCUGCAAUGAGCAUUGUUUGGCCCCUGACCUUGUUUGUGCUACAAUCAUUUACCCAAGGAUCAACCUUUAGUAACGUCAGACCCAAUAAAUAAGCAUUUCAAAUUAAUGGUGGCCAAAUAAAUCAGCGAACGCAAUCCAGAUGGUUGUUAUCAAUGAGUGGAUAAUAUAUCAAUGAGUUGAUAACAUUUACAUCAUUUACAUGACCCUUGAAGGAAAGCCUAUCUUAAAAAGACAUUUGAAUAAGCUUUUACAAGUAGAAUUGGUGAUUUAAAUGUCUGAAAACAAUAAAAAAUACAAUUCUUUGGGGAGUAGGGCUCAGAUUAUUUAUACUUUAAAAAAUCUUAACAUUUAUUUAAUUUUUGAGAGACAGAAGAGACAGAGUGUGAGUGGGGGAGAGGCAGAGAGAAAGAAGGAGUCACAGAUUCCAAAGCAAGCUCCAGGCUCUGAGUUGUCAGUACAGAGCCCAAUGUGAGGCUCAAACUCACGAACCGUAAGAUCAUGACCUGAGCCAAAGUCGAUGCUUAACUGACUGAGCCACCCAGGGACCCCAGAUUAUUUAUACUUUUAAAAACAUAACUAGACCUCUAAAAGCUCAACCUAAUGCCACAGCUAUAUAUGGAAACCCCUCUGCCAGGAAUAGGGAAAUGAUAAGCAGAUAGACCUGACUUCAUAAAGCUUAUAUAUAGUGACAAUCCAUAGAUGAAAAACAGUUGGUUCCAAUCCAGGGUGGUACAUGCUAUAAAGGGACAGCUCUGUAUGCCAUGGGGACAGAGAAAGAGCUUAGCACAGGCUGCAGGGCCAGGAAGAGCAGGUGGAAAUAUCAAGGGGUCUUCCCUUUAGGGUUAUGAACUUGGAAUGUGAAAAAUAUUACAUCUUUACUUUCAAUAACUCUAACUGAAAAUUUAGUAUGUCUUUCUAUAAUGAUUGUAAGGCAACAAACCACAGCAGCAAAAAUGGACUCUGUGGUCACAAAGUAGGAAUCAUAGAUAUUUUCACAUCAUAUCACAGUUACUGAAGAUAUCUUAAAAUGUCCUUUAUGCUUAUCAUCACUUCAAAAUGACAGAGGUUAUUAAACCCAUCACUGUAUUUUGUCAUUUAACACACGAAUAAAGAAGCACAUUUAACACAUGAAUAAAGAAGAAUAAAUUUAUUUCCUCUUAAAUUUUGAUAGAUGUAUUUCAAAAGAACUGUUCUCCUUGCUCAUACACUUUAUUGUAUGUAUUGAAGCAUGACUAAAUGGGUCCAUGGUCCCAAAGGAGGAAAAAUCCUUCCCCUGGUCUCAGGCAGUGGGUAAGUUUGUGAAAGCAGGUAGGGGAGCCCAUACGGUUGUUGGUGGAGGUAUGGAUGAGGGAGACUGGGGAGGUUGGCUUCUGUCUGGAGGAAAUGAACAGUGUUCCAGGUAGAGACACCAGCACAUACACAUGCAACCCUGGAGCAACGUGAAGUGGGAGCGAGGCACAAAUAUUGGUAAUCUCUGGAUCUGGAAGGACAGGAAGAAAGUGGAGGGAAACAAUGCAGUUUAGAAAGACAAUCAGGUGACAGCCCCGUGACAUCUGGAGGGGCAUGCAGAAGAAUUUGAAUUUCAUCCUAAGGGGACUGGGUGGUAAACAAAAGUUUUCAGGCAAAGUGUUCAAAAUUAUUCUUUCUGUAGUUAAAAAGAAAAAGCCCUCCUCCCAGAUAACUUCCCUUUCUCAAUCUUACUUCUUUAAUACUUGAAAGGAUCCUGUGGCAAAGAGUCAUAAAUUUCCUUCUAUUACAUACAGAUGGGCAAAGACAACAUAGCAUUUUAUGUGAUUUUUUUUUCCUACACUGGUCUAAUCUUUGUACAAUUUUAUGUACAAAUGUUGACUUAAAUAUGACAUAGAGGAAUAUCACCUUCUCCUUUAAUUUUACACAUGCUGUAACUAUCCAGCCUGGUGAUUCAUCUCUUUCCCUCCUCCUUCCCAUGGUGGGGACAGGUCCUCUGUCCCAUGGUGACUGCGGGUAGGGGAAGGUAUAUGAGUGUGUUGGGGGGAAGUCUUGUGAUGCUCUCCUGACCAAGGCAUCCAUGGGCCAUUACUGGCAAUGGGUCCUGUAUCUACCUUUUCACUGCUCUCCUAGGUAACAUCAUUGUGAUAUUUACUGCUUGUGACCGUACGGUCUUACUCUCUCUGGUCUUAGGCGAUGAUGUCCCUUCCUGUUGAGUUAGGUUAGGUCCUCCCUGACUCUUGCUGGCAAUCCAUAUCCUACUCCCCCAAGUGUCCACCAUGACUUCUACCCAAUCCCAACCAGGCAGUCAAACCUGAGACAUUCAGCUCGAAAGCUCUUGGUGUCUCCACCGUGGUAACCCUUCUCUCCAGCUGUCAUCAGUAGCAACCUCCACUCUACAAUGGAACACGUAGGAAAUUCCAGAUGCCCCCAGAUCAUGCUUGUCUCCACACACACAUCCCAAGCAAGCCACACUGCUGACUUAGUCAUAUAUAAAUAUAUAUAUAUAUAUAUUUAUAUAUUUAUAUAUAUUAUAUACAUAAGAUAUGUAUACAUAUAUGUGUUCAUAUAAGAUAUAUAUAAGAUAUAUACACACACACACACAUAUGUGUGUGUGUGUGUGUGUGUGUGUGUGUGUAUCUUGAUUGAAGAACUGCACCUUCUUUCUUCAUUUAACUGAUCUGAGAAAAAAUACCCUACAGGAUUUAAGACUAGAUCACCAGCUCUUCUCCCUCCUUAUUGGCGCUCUUCUCCUUCCUACAAUCCACCAGGCAGAAGGACUGAGAGUUCCCAUUCUAUCCUGCUCUGGCUGGUACUUCCCCUGUAUCAUAUCCUCCUUACUACCUGCUACAGGAGAAUUUAAGGCUUACCCUGCAUUGUGAAACAACCAGUGAUCUGAGUCUGCCAGACAUAAGUCUUAUAAAAAAUUACCCAGUCAUCUUGAAAAUAAAAUAGGGACAUGAGAGGAUUAAAACCUAUGUAAUGUUCUAAAAAUAAUACCACUGGAUCAUCAUUUUUCUUUAAAACCAUUUCUUUCAAUGUGCCAUUCAGAAUGGCCUGGACCCAUCCCCAACCAAUGGAUCUGAAAGCCUCAAACUUUUUGUGUCUCAUGGUGGAUGGAGAUUUCUGCACAAGGCAUUAGUUUGAUGCUCUAAUUUGAGAGCAGACAUAAGUUAAGAAGGCAGAUUUUUACACUUUUAUACUGUCACACUGCCAAAUCCAUAAGCCAACUUAUUGGAGGGUCUCACCCCCCUCCUAUCUUCUCUCUUGUCUCUGUUUCCCUCUCUCUUUCCCUUUCCUCUGCUUCUCCCUUAUUCAAUCCUCUAGCUGGCUGCCUCAUGCUUGUCCACAUAGAAAACUCUAUUCUAGAAAACCAUACUCAGGGAGCCUUCAACGAUAAUGCAUUACACGUGGUAAUACAAACAAUUGUUAGAACAAUUAUGCUCUUUAAAACAUGACUCCCAUUCAGUGCUUUGGUUUCCCUGCCUUUGUGCUUCAGGCUAAAUAUUACUCAGACUCCUGCAAGGCUGGGUGCUUUCUCACCAAUUAUCUGAAAGGCCCAGAGAACAGGACUUACAUCAAAGCCAGGCCUAAUGACAAAGGACACCUGGCCACUGCAAACACAGGCAUCUCUCAGCUCCUCGCUCCAUUUGGCAAAAAGCUAUUUCCAUCUCAGUCACGAUGUAACAAAGGACUAAUUGAUGGGAGCAUUUUUUUCCAUCUUUCAAAAAAUAAAUUGAGCCAACCCCACAAGCUCAUCUAGAGGAAUUAAUUAGGGAAUAGGAAAUCUCCAAAGCCAUCCUUAAAUUCAGAUUGAACAAAGCCCAGGGAACAGAUGGCUUUUCAUCUGAAUUCUUUAAAACCUUUAGCACUCUGCUAAUUCCCCUACAGGAAUGAAAAAAAUAAAUUGCUAAAUGAAUUUGAGCAAACCAUUUCACCAGGUGUUCAUUUCCCCUAAGGUUCCUUCUGCUCUAGGAAAAAAAAAAGAAAGAAAGAAAGAAACCCAACAGGUAUCCUCUCUACUGAUAUUAUUGUAAUUUCAUUUGUACAUCUGAGUCCUUCCCUAAGGGCCCAUUGUAAACUUCCCCAGCAUUUCUGACUACCAAGCUGGGGGACUGAUUCCCUUAAUUGAUGCAGCUGAUCAGAGACAACUGCUCAGAGCACAAGGAUGAUGUCAGCACACAGAAAACAAAGUCCAGAAUGAGGUCGCUGUUCAAGCAAAACUGAGAAAUAGGAAACGAUUUUGUUAUUCUGCUUCAGAUACCUGGAGAUUUCUGGAGUAAGGGCUGGUGAUGUUUGAUUGCAUUAUCCCAAUAGUUAAGAGAUUUGUUUCUCCUACACACAAGUGUGCCCAUGUAGAAAUACAGUGAGGGAGAAGGGCAUUGCCUCUCAUUUACAUGGUUCACAAGAAGCUGUCACACACAUGACCCUGGAAGGGAUGAAGUGCUCACAUGUACACAUUUUCUAUUCCAAGGAUAUCUAAAUAUCACUUCUCACGAGAAUCUAGUAUACAUUUUUAAAGCAGUUUUUACACAUUUAUUAUAAUUUAUUUUCAUUAACAUUUUAAACUGAAUAAUUAUAUUUAGAAUUCUGAUACUAUACUAGAAUAUCAGAACAUUCUGGUAUCCAUCCUUUUGUUGUUUUUUUUUUUAAUAAAAAUUUACGCUAAAUACAAUCUACCCACAGAAUGGACCAUUCCAGAGAAAAUGCAAUAGACCACUAAAACUCAAAGACGACGUAAUUCUGAUACAGGUAAGUUCUUUUUAUUUUUUUUAAAUGUUUAUUUUUGAGAGAUAGAGAUUGCAGGGAGGGGCAGAAACAGAGGGAGACAGAGAAUCCCAAGCAGCCUCUGCACUGUCAGCACAGAGCCUGAUGCCGGGACUAGAACUGUGAGAUCAUGACUGGAGCCGAAAUCGAGUUGGACACUUAACCAACUUAGCCACCCACGCACCCCAUAAGAUCUGAUACAUGGAUUAAAAUGUGCACUGAGAAAUCCUUGGAUGGGGGUCAUAAAAGGGAAGUGAACCCCUAAAAGGAAAAUAUCUUAAGCCUCUCAGCAAAAUGGAGGGGAUUUUUGUUUUCCAGAGCUCAACUCCAGCCCCAGGACACUCCACGGACUGACCCCAAAGGUUCAAGCCUUCACUGGCAGCAGCUUCUGGGUCACUUCCUUCUCACCUGCCUACCACAGCUGCUGUAACAGCUCCUAUCUCCACCCCAGUCUACUCUACUCUAGAAAGAGUUCUGAUGAUACAGAGCUCCACUUCCAUCAUGGUGGAUGUGAGAGAAUUUUAGUCCCAGGAGCCUUUUGUUCUAAGGGGAAGGGCUGAUAAGUGAAACUUCUGGAAGCAGAUGUUACGUUAAAAAUAAAGGAAUAGAUACAAUCACACACACACACACACACACACACACACACACACCCUCACACUUAUUCAUUCAAUAAAGAGUCAGUAAGCACUCUGCCAGGACUUAAGGGAAAAAAAUAGAGAGUAAAAUAGAAAUGAUCCUUGCCCUCUUAGAGUUCUACAUUCCUUUUGGGGAGGCAGACAGUGGAAUGUCCCCACAUGUAUAUAAUUACAAACUGUAAUAAACGCUAGGAAGAUUAAAGGAUAAGAAGUAUACAGAGGUAGAAACCAGUCUAGGCAGGGAUGCCAGUCUUUCCUGAACACUGAAUUUUUGAACUGAUACCAGAAAAAUGAACACACACAAACUGCUGUGAACAUUAUGAUAAAGGGUAAAAUGUGUCCCAGUGAGGGAAACAGCAUGAGCAAAGGCCCUGAGAGAGCAUGCGGCUGAGCAUAUUUGAGGGACUGAAACAGAUCCAGGGGCUGGCAGGAAGUCGGCAAAGGAUCAAGUGGCAUAGGAGGGUUUUAAGCCUGCUGGGCCUUGAGGGACAGUGGAAGUGUCUCGUUUGUUUGCGCCUCCCAGAAGCAGCCUCUGAGAUCAGGGCUCUGCAAGGAGGUGAGCCCAAAAAGCACCAGUAGGGGGGAUAUGACACAAAACAGGGAAGACAGCAGACAGAGGAUGGGGUAUCAAUUAAACUACCACUGUGGGCUAGUGGAGCUUCACCAGCUGCCAGGGAACUGGGAGACCAUGUAGAACACGUAUCUCAGGACCAUCGCACCCAAGGGGCAAAGGAGUUAGCGUCCUUACUAACCAAUUCUCAUUAACCCUGGAUGGAGGACGCUGGGCCGGCACCUCAGGACCUCAGUACCUGGUGUGGGGCCUGCUGCGUGAUAGCCCAACAGAGGAAGCCCUCAGGCAGGGGGAGGCUGGGCCGAGGCUAAAGGCACCUGGCAGGUCACUCAUGUUAUCAGCUACGUCACCACAGAUCUACACGUGUACACUCCUUCCUGCUUACAGAGCAGCAUUCGUCACCUCAGAAAGCAGCAGAAUUCAUGUCUCCACUUUUAAUAUUUGUAUGUCCACACUUCUGUAAGGCAACGCACCUUACAUGCAUGAGCAGUUAAGUCUCAAGUACAUCCAUCUGAUGCUCUCCAAAGUGCUCUGUGGUAGGUUAGGGUCACUGCUUACAUUUUACACACUAGAAAAUGGGGAAUCACUGAGACAGAGCAAACUGUUCAAGGCCAUUUAAAGGAGAAGUACCUUUGGGGCACCUGGGUAGCUCAGUUGGUUAAGCAUCUGACUUUGGCUAGGUCAUGAUCUCACGCCUCGUGAGUUCAAGCCCCACGUUGGGCUCUGUGCUGGUAGCUCAGGGACUGGAGCCUGCUUCAGAUUCUCUCUCUCUCUCUCUCUCUCUCUUUCUCUCUCUAUCUGCCCCUCCCCUGCCCACUCUGUCUCUCAAAAAUAAAUAAAAUAAAUAAAAUAAAUAAAGGAGAAGUACCUUCAAUUCAAAUUCAAGGCAACAGUUUCAACAGCCAUUUUUAUUCCUGCCACGCCAUAAUGACACAAGUGACAUAUGACAAGAUGAGGUCUACAAAUCCAAUUAAACCUAAUCAUACAAUGGACUAGGACCAGGGCAUAUAAGAACUACUGAAGAAAAAAAAGAGAGAGAGAGAGAGAGAGAGAUUCCUACAAUUUACCUUAGUGUAUCUAAUUCUAAAAUGUAACAGAACCAUUUUAUUAUCAAAUGAUAAUAAAAGGCAGCAAUACAGUAAAAAUAAAAGGUAUAUUUUCUCCAACAGAUCAAUAUUUAAUAUAUUUUAAUUGAUGAGCAAGAAGAUUAAUUAUAAAAAGGAUGAAAGAUAAAGAAGAGAGUCCAAUAUGAUUGACUUCAACACCAUCUGUAAAUGGAGAACAAUUAGGUAAGCCAACUCUCUUAAGCGUGAAGAUAAAUUAUCACCGGGAAGAUAUUAUUAUACUCCUUUUAAACUUAACUUCUAGUUCUUAGGCUUUACAGGUAAGAAUGAAUGAAACUGAAUGCAGGGAGAAGACUGCCUUUCUGAAAUUCUAUCCCUGCAUGGAAAAGUGAGACAGUUCCCCUCAUAUCAAUUUCUGAAACAUACUUUUGGGCAGCAGAAAAUCAUUUUUCAUAUGCAAGUAUGAGAGGUCAAAUGUCAGCUUCAGGGCAUAGGUUGUGUUUUAUAGACAUGUGUUUUAAUGUGAUUCUCAUACUUUGGUUUAUGAUAUCCCUUUUCAAAGUGAAUAUUUCCACUCUGUUGGCCAGGGCGCCAGUCUUACUGCUGAUUAUGUGUCAAGUCUUGAACAUCAUCCCACAUUGUCUGAAAAAUGAGCCCCACCAUGGCUUUGCACUAUGCAAUGAGAUGGGAACGUAAAGGAUAACCUGGUGGGAGAACGUCCACUAUUAAAAAAAAGACAGAGAGAGAAAAUCUGUAAGUAAGAAAGCAGAUUUUUCAGAGUACCUAUUUUCUGGGGGAAUUUCUGCUGACCACACAGCCCAGAUCUGUAGUUCCCAACACGCCUGACUCCAUUUCCUGCAGUGCACCAUUUCUACGUAAUUGUUGUCCCAUAAGGAUGGGAAGUAUGUAUUUUUUUUCUCAAGAUGACAAAAUAUUGCUUUCAAAGGAGACAUUGCAAUAAUAAGAAUUGUUGCAGGUUCUUACAGGGGAAAUGUCUGGGGUUGAGGCGGACAUUCUUUAGCAUUUUUUAUUUAUAUUCACUCUUAGUUUUGAAGCACGAUCUAUUUUCAAUAUCCUCUGCAUCUGGCCAUUAAAGCUAAUGUCAGUGUGGUGGGAGAAAUCUUGUAUUAUUGAUAAAUGCCAAAAGCCUCUCUUCCCAACUCAGGAACAGCUUACACCAGCUUUAGAAAUUCUAGUUCCUUUUCAAGUAGUUUUACUCCAAUUUCACAGAAAGAUCAUACAUGUAAUGACAUUCCCAAUAAUAAUGCAAUCUAAAUUUCUCUAACGAACCCAGAUUCAAAUUUUUAGAACUUAUGUAUACUGGACCUGUGAGAAACUCUGAAGAAUACCAUCUUGGUACUUGUAGAACACUUAACCCAAAUCAUCAACAGCUUAUUUAUUUAUCUUUUCAAAUAUAAAAUGGUUCCUUUUAGUGGUUUCUUUCCUACUGUGCCUUUGACAAUUAGGUUCUUAUCCUACAAGAUAUUAAAAGUUUCUUUAAAGAUGUUAAGUCCUAAAGCUUUGACUUCACCCACAGUGGAGGAUUCCCUAAGAGGUCCUGAGUAGCUGUCUUCUCUCCACACCCAUGUCUAUGUCAUGUGUUAUAAAGGUGGACAUAACACAUAGAAAUUCAUAGUGCUAAAAAAAACAAUGAUGGAUACCUCCUUUUUGAAAAGAAAUAACAGUGCCUGCUGAUUUUUAAAUAUCUUUUUACUAUUUUGUGGGAAGAUCUCAAAAAAAACCAAUUACAGUUCUAGAUGCUUUUGGAUAUUGUUAGGGUUUUGCCAUUAGCCACAAACCACAUUAAAAAAAAAAAUUCUUGAGACUUUUACUGUCGUUGGUUUGGUGAGACUUUUAGCAAACAAAUUGUUUCAGAAUGCUGACGUCAAUACAGUAUGGUAUGCUAGGUGAUGAGAUACUUCUCUUAUAAAGAGGGCCCAACAUAUUAAUCACUCUCCUGAGUCAAUAAACAUUUUUACUGUUCUUAGUAACAAAAAGACAUGUGAGAAUUUUUUUAAAUCAGGAUUUUCAAUAUGACUAUUGACAUUAAUAUUUCUGACUUACCAAAGACUUAAGAAGAUAUAAAAUAUUUUGGUCUUAGAAGAUAUAAAACUCAGGCCUCUCUAAAUAAAUUUAAAUCAUUUAAAGCACUGUUCACUGAGCCCAUAGUUAUAUAUGAUACUUAGAACUUUGUUUACAAAUCUCUUAUUUAAUUCUAAACUCUACCUUUUCAUAAAUGUGUCAUUACUUCCAUUUUACAAAUAAAGAUACUAAAUGCCAGAUAAGGGUGCUAUGUGUUAGAGUAGGGGGUUUCUACAUUUAUUGGAAUCACCUGGAUGGCUCCAACUACUGAUGCUUCCAUCCCAAGCCCAGAGAUUGUAGUUUAGUUGCUCUAGAGUGUGACCUAGGCUUUGUAAUUUUUAAGAGACCCUUACGUGCUUCAAAUAUGAAGAAAGGUUUGGAAACUCCUUGGUGACAAAAUAGAACCACUUAUUCUUUUAUGUCAGGGUUCUUGGAAGUUAUUAAUUUUCUAUAUUACAUUGCAUGUAGCCUGGGGUAUUUAAUCAGAUAAUUCUAAAAACCGAAAAUAUGUGACUAAUAUUCUCAAUGCCAUUCUUUCAUAAGAGAGAUUUUCUUUCUGGGUUGGUGAUCAACUCUAAUAUACAGUGUUAUCACAUGUGAUAUAUAAUAUAUAUGUGAUAAUAAUAUUUAAAUUUAAAAUUAAUGAGUGUAGUUCCUAUAUGCCAGGUUUGUUUCACAAGUACUGUUGCAUGUGUUUUUCAUAGUGCUGUAAGAAUCUUUUACACUUUUAGAAGAGAGGAAUCUGGGACACAGAAUAGUGAUAUAGCUUGCUGGAGGUUCCAUAGCCAAUAAAUGGCAAAGACAAGAUUCAGACCCAGACCUGCCAGAACCCAGGGCUUAUGCUCUUGAUCACCACAGCAUCUAAUAUGGCCUCAACAUUCGUGGAUGAUAAUAAUGACACAGUUUCAACUAAGGGUGAGAUGCAUAGCUAACAGUCCAUUAUUCUUGUCAAAUUUAUCCUUGAAACUAUUUUGUCUUAAGUUUCUUUGUUGAGGCCCCCGGCUUUCCUUCAUUCUAUCUCAAAAACCAUACUGGAUGCCUGAUCCUACCUCUUCCUUUCUCAAGAUACAUUAUGUCUCCACUGAGCAUCCUUCAUUCAACAAUGAAAGAAAAAUGUAACCUGUUUAUUGCUAUUGUUAUUUGGGAUUUGUCACAUGCAGCUGAAGUAUUUUGAAUUAUGCACAGAGAUGGGAGUAGAAUAUACACAAGGGUCUAUCAAUAGAAAGCACAAAAACUUCACAAACAAUUUUGGGAACUACACCCACAGGUACAGAGUAGCUAAGGAGAAGAGCAGAAGGCAUCUCAUGAACUUCUCAACUACACACUGGAUUCCUAGAGUGUUUCCACUAUUUCUCAGGGCCCAUUAAAUCCCAGUUGUUGUUGUUGUUGUUUUUUUAACAUUUAUUUAUUUUUGAGACAGAGAGAGACAGAGCAUGAAUGGGGGAGGGGCAGAAAGCGAGGGAGACACAGAAUCAGAAGCAGGCUCCAGGCUCUGAGCCAUCAUCCCAGAGCCCGAUGCGGGGCUUGAACUCACGGACUGCGAGAUCGUGACCUGAGCCGAAGUCGAACGCUCAACGAACUGAGCCACCCAGGCGCCCCUAAAUCCCAGUUUUAAAAGAAACCAUAUAGGCACCUGGUUGGCUCAGUUAAAACAUAUGACUCUUGGUCUUGGAUCAGGUCAUGAUCUCAUGGUUGGUGGGAUCGAGUCCUGCAUCAAGCUCUGUGCUGGCAGCACCAAGGGUGCUUGGGCUUCUCUCUCUCCCUCUCUCUCUGCCCCUCCCCUGCUCAUGUGCGCACAGUUGCUCUCUCUCAGAAUAAAUAAGUAAACCUUACAAAAAAGAAACUGUAAAAAAGAAACAUUUUUUCCUCUUUGGGGAUUGUUUGCUUGUUUUAAUGACUCAAAUGACAUCUAACAGAAUGCAUUUCAAAUCACAUACUGUAUUAUCAUAGACUAUAAUUGUGUGUGUGUGUGUGUGUGUGUGUUGAAAAUUCAAUGAAAUAUGAAAAAUACAGCAAUUCAAUAUAAAGGACUCUUUUAAGGCAUGAGAACCUGUGAUGUCCAUGGAAUAACUUUUUCUUUAAGAAUUCUCUAAUCCCUAUUCCUAAUACAAUCUGAAAGGACAUAACAUUCAUGUAAAGGAAAGCCUGCUAUUAGGAAUUAUUUUUGCAGGUGAAAAAUAAUUAUCAGCAAAUAGUAAAAGUCAAUAAAAUAAAUGGUAUACUAUAGUCCACAGAAAGCUAAAAGCAACAUUUAGAAGAUGGAUUAUAGAAAUUCAGCCCAAAUUCAUAGAUUAAAGGAUAUGAGGAGAAAGACAAUGAUCAAGUACAUGAGAAGCAAGGCAUAUAGAACCAGGAGAUUGAAAAAGUAUGAAUUAGAAUGCUAUAAAGCAAGGAGAUGCAAUAAUCAAAGUAAUCUGAAAAGUUUCUGAGCUAAAGAAAGUUUUGAACAUUUAGUAUAAGGGUCUAAGAAUACUAGAUAUUAAUAAAGAUCAAUCUGCAAUUAAACAAUAAUGAUAUAUUUUGUAUUUUUCUGGGUAUAAAUACAUAUUCUCAAAGCUUCCAGGCAGAAGAGAGUAAAGUAAGAGCUAUGAAGAUACCAUCAGACUUUUCUCAGUGGUGUAUGAAAUAUGGCAAUGGAAAGGUGUUUUCAAGGUUUUAGGGGGAAUGUUUAUGACUCCAAAAUUCCAAUCUCAUCCAAGUCCACAUUCAUUAGUGAGGACAGAAGGACCUUCUCAGACAUGAAGUGACUCAGGAAAUAUACUACUUAGUUAUCUGUCUUGAAAAAAAUUACUUAAGGAAGUAUUUCACCCAACCAAGAAAUGAAUCAAAACCAAGAAAUUAACUCGAUUUGAAGGCAUGUGUGGCUCAAAAGAAAAGGCAGUGAGUAAUGAACUUAACACAAGGUUGGUGUCUAAGUAACUGUUAUAAACACAGUUAUGAAUCUUGACAAAUGUCAAAAGUAAUUCUUGGGUGGAUAAAAAAAUACCGUUUUUUUUUUUUUUUAAAUACUGAAAGUAUCUAGUUUUAUCUCAAUAGAAACAGGGCAGUAGCAGGACUUAAGAAAAGGAGAGAAAUAAAGGUAUUCUAAACUUCUCUUAUUCAGAUACAGCAAAUCAGUUCUGUUUUAUUAACAAUGUCUAUUUAUUUAUUUAUUCAUUUGUCUUUUGUGUGCAAGUACCUGGCUCUAUGCUAGUGUGCAGAGAUCAAUGAUCAGAUCUGGGUCCCUCCUUCCCAGUGUGUAUACUCUAAUCAACAUAGAUCAUUUUUUUUUUAAGUUCAUUUAUUUAUUUUGAGAGAGAGGCAGAGAGAAAGGGAAAGAGAAAAUCCCAAUCAGGCUCCAUGCUGAGAGCACGGAGCUGGAUGCAGAGCUUGAACCCAUGAACCAUGAGAUCAUGACCUACGCCAAAACCAAGAGUCGGACGCUUAACCGACUGACUGAGUCACCCAGGUGCCCCAACAAAUAGAUAAUUUUUAAUAUGAAAACAACCAAAGGGACUAAAAAUAACACAUAUUACUUAAUACCACUAUAUGAAGAAAAAAGAGAAUUUAAGCAAUAUUUCAAAAUGAACAAAAAUAUUUCAGUAUGAACAAAAGACACUGAUAAAAUUUAAUGACACAAUUUUUUUUUAAUAGAGGGACAAACAAUAGGGAUAUUGACCUGAAUAUAAGAAGUAGAUUUUUAGGUAAAACUAGUAAGUUUUAAAAUCAGGGAUAUUUUAUGUUGAUAAAGAUGUAGUUCACAGUGAAGUUAGUUGUCUUGAACUUGUAAGCAUGAAAUAACAUUCCAAACAUGUAAAAUAUAAAUGUUUAGACUUAUGUAAUGAAAAAUAAAAUUAUGAUUCAGAUAUAAUUGUAAUUACUUAACAUAUCUUCAUAGAUAAGGAAGACAUAAACUAUAUGGUAAAACAAAUAAAUUUAAUAAUUUGAAGAUUAAGCUAAUUUAAUAAAUACAUACACACACUAUGCACAAUUUCAUGAAAAAAAUUCAACUGUAGUUAAACCAUUCUCAGUAUAUUUGAAAGGGCAUAACUUGGGGUACCUGGAUAGCUCAGUCAUUUGAGCAUCUGACUCGCUCAGGUCAUGAUCUUGUGGUUUAAGGGAUGGAGUCCCACCUUGGGAUGCUGUUAGCAUGGAGCCACUUGGGAUUCUCUCUCUCCCUCCCGUACUCCCACUGUGUCUCAAAAUAAACUUUUUAAAAAAAUGUAUUAAAAAAAAAGAGGAACUUCCUCAGGCUACAUACUUUGAUCACACUGAAAUAAAACUAGAACUUCAAACCAAAGAAACCAUAUUUAAGAGUUAAACCUUUGGAAAUUGGAAAAAAAAUCUCAUAAGUAACUAUUUGACAGGGAUAAUGCUACCCAUUAAGUUGUAUCUAUAAAAAUUUAUGAAAAUUUCCUAAACCUAUACUCAGGGAAAUAGUAAUUUCCAUGAUAACCAAUAUUAAAUAAUCUAAGCAUUCAAUUCAAAAACCUAGAAAAAAUCCAAAUUUGACAUUUCUAUGAUCUGGACAAAUAAUAAACAUUUUUUUUUUUUUUUUGAGAGAGUGAUAGAGAGCAAGCAGGGGAGGGGCAGAAAGAGAGACAAAGGCUGCACUGUUAGGGCAGAACCCAAUGCAGGGCUCGAACUCACAAACCAGGAGGUAAUGACCUGAGCCAAAAUUGAGUUGGAUGCUUAAUCGACUGAACCACCCAGAAGGCCCAUAAAUGACAUAUAUUUUUAAAUAGUAUAACUUUAGCCUUUAUAGCCCAUCAAAGAACUGUCCAUUUCAAAAGUGUCUCUUAUAAUACUAAAAAAGAAAAUGUGGUCCUUUCUUAGUUCAGUUCCAAGGAAAUAUUUUUUCUUUUCCUCAGAUUUAUAGGUUUAUAAUUUUUAAAUCAAACAUGGGCUCAGUUGACAGCUUACUUUAGUAAAUUUCUCAUUAUCCUCAAGUUUAUCAUCUUAUUUUCACUAUGUUUAAUUUUUAAACCAACCCCAAGUGGAGUUACUGGCAAGACAGCACUGCACUAGUAAAUGUUUAACAACCAGUUCACUGUAGGGGAGUGCAGGGAGGUGAUGAUUUACAACAUUUGCUACUUUCUAUGGUGUAAAAAGUCUUACCAUAGCCAAUUUCAAGCUAUCACCUUAGGGUCACUGAAUGUGAAGUUGGUUAAAGGUGCACAGAAUCAGGUCUCAUUAUCCAGUGCAUGUUGGGUCCUAUCACACUGUUAUUUAGAUGCCAUUAAUGAGUCUAUGAACACCUUAUUAUGAACAGAUGGGUGGAUGAAUGGAUGGAUGGGUGGGUGGAUGGGUGAUAGAUGGAUACAUGGAUGGGUAGGUAGAAAGGGCAUAUAAAAUUUUUACAUGAUAGAGAUAUAUUAGCCAGUGUAUUUUUUGUUUAUUUAUUUAAUUCUUCAGCUCUAUUUUUUAAAUGGAUAGGAAACAAGAAUGGGGUGGGCAUAUCGGUCUUUCAGGGCCAUUUCUGAAUGCAGAAAUGCAGUAACUUGGAAAACUUUAAACAACCAAUGGUGACCAUGAAAAUAGUAGUAUCAGAAAACCCAGAAUAGGAAUUUUGUUAAUACCAGCUAUGGAUUUCAAAUGGAAAUGGAAAUUUCUCUUAACAAUACUCAUUAGUAUUCUGCCCAUUUCUUCAGCAGCCUCAACUCAUUGCGCUUUCACAUUUCUCAAUUAACAUUUAUGUGCUUGGGUGAUCUUAGCUAUUAAAUGAGAUGGUUACAGUUGAUAAACCAAAGUUCUAAAAUGUUAUGGUUCUAUGAAGUGAAGCAAUUUCCUCAUCAUCUCACUCUCUCCUUUCACUCAUUUAAGGAUAAGAAAGUAAUCAGCAUGGCUUCGGUGGCUCAGUCAGUUAAGUGUUCAACUCUUGAUUUUGGCUCAGGUCAUGAUCUCAUGAUUUGUGGAAGCCCUCAGCAUGGAGCCUUCUUGGGAUUCUCUCUCUCCUUCUCUCUCUCUGCCCUCCCUUGCUCACUUGAACUCUUUCAAAAUUAAUAAAUUUUUUAAAAUAUAGGAAAGUAAUGAUUUUAAUCCUGAUACCAUUUUUUAAGUACUAGCCUUUGAAAUUUAAAAUUUUAGUUAUGUGGUAAUAUUUUGCAUUUUGUCAUCAUUAUAUAUUUACAAGAAGACGGAGGAUUUGGAAAAGAUUACCUUGCCUAGUUGAAUGAUGGUGUUCCUGGACUCAAAACUGGGAGAUGAUUUCUUUAGUCCGGUAAAGAAGCUUCAUAAAUGCUUUUGAAGAGAUGUUAUUACUAAAGAAUAUUAAUUAGCCUUUAUGCUAACUGUAUUAAAGAUAUGUGUGUGUGUGUGUGUGUGUGUGUAUAUAUAUAUAUAUAUAUAUAUAUAUCUGAGCUCAAUUUUGUGUAUGCAUACAAACACACACACACACACACAUAUAUGUAUGUAUAUAUAUCAAUCCUAUUGCAACACAAGCAUUACAAGCUACAAUAUUUAUUUCAUUUGUCAAGUCCUAGUCCUGGCUUGAAAUUUUAAAAGAGGAAAACACAUUGAGAUGUUUCAUACUACUAAAAUUUUUAAGUUCAACUAGGUAACAGAAGUUCUCUUUGACUGUAAUUAUGGCUCUUGGUGAGGAACAGGAAUAAUCAUUUUGUCUAAUUCCUGUUAACUACACUUGCUUCUCUUAGAGUUUUUCCCUCCAGAUUUCCUCUUACCACUCUUAAGAUAGCACCAAAAAGUAAAGAGAAGACAUUCUACCACCUGAAAGACAAAAUCUCAAAAGUGGCGAAGUCCACUACGUAUUUUUAAUUACAUCUCCAGCAUCUAAAUGGUUAAUAUUCUGCCUGCUUUACAAGCCACAUGCAAAUCUUCCAAUUGUAUAAAGGAUUUAUGGCAACUGCACUGUAUCUGCAAAGAAAUGGAAGAGGUAGUAAAACAGCUGCUUUGUCAUCAAAAUAGAUAAACACACACAUCACAGCAAAUCUUUGUGGUGUCCUACACUACAACCCUUCUACCAGACUGAAGUCAUCUGUUGUGUGGGAUAAUUACACGUCCUUUCCACCUCCAGCACGUGAGCUGUACCUGUCUGCUUUUCUGCCUUGAAACUUUCUCCAAAGCUAUGGUAGGCUGCUCACUCUUUGCAGCCUCAGACAUUUAAGGAAGUUAACACCCAUGGGAACAACCCUCAACCGCUGGUCCCUGACUUCACUGGGUUAACAGUUCACCUCCCUCUCCCUCUCACCUGAUAAAACAGCCUGAGGAAUGUUUUUUCACAAUUCCUCAGCAAGUCCCAGAUGGAUUGAUCCUCAGUUGCCCACAGUGGCAACCUGCUGAACAGUGCACCUCUAUAUCCCCGAUGCCCCCUCCAUCUUACUCUCUUCGCCCCUUCACUUCUCUUUCCCAGACCAUCUCAAACGACCGGCACCCAAGUUCUCCCAUCAGGUUCUACCUUUGCAGGAGCUCAAAGACACACAGUAGAUCGAUAGAUAUCAUGUUUUUCUAAUGUUUUAUUGUUAUAAUUUUCAAACACAAAAUUACAUAGAAUUAUAAAAUAAAUGCCCACUUAGUCAUCACCAAGAUUGAGCAAAGUUCUGCCAUGCAUGUUUCAUGGAGCCAUCUUCUGAGGAUAUUCUCGAUAAGAUUUAGUCAGAAAGAUAAAAGUAUCAGAGUACCUCAACCUCAAUCUUGUUCCAGUUCUAAGGAGGAAGUACUUCUCAUUACAUAGAAUUUAAUUACCCAAUGAAUAUGAGAUGUUUUAAGAAGCAUUUAAUAACCACUAACUACCUAUUAUUAAAAUCUGCUGGGCUGAAGCAACAGAUGUGGUAAACAGAUCUCUUGACAAAAAGUCCCAAAUCCUUGAGGUAAUAUCUGUAAUUCAGCAAAUGUGUAUUGAGCCCUUACUUGGUCUGGCUACUGGAGAUCCCGUCAAAUAAAUCCUGAACUCUGGCCCAUGAAGCCCACAAGAGAAAACCAGAUGAACAAUAACCAGUUUAGCAAAUGAAUGAACAAGAUUAUUACAAAUUUUAAUUAGUGCUGAUAAAGAAAGAGACAGUCCCUUGUAGAGGGUCUUUGAGGAGAAGGGAGGGAUGAGGGCCACUGAGGAGGUCAAGUUUGGGCUGAGGCUUGAAGGCUAAGAGUGAGGCAACUUGAGAAAACAGCCAGUGUGGCCUUGGUGCAGUGGACUCCUAUCUGAGGCAAGGGUGGAGGGAGUGUGGCAGGGCUUAGAACAUGCAGAGCCUUGCAGAUGAAGAUAAUGAAUUAGGAUGUUAUUCUUAAAGCAAUGUGAUAUUCCUGAAAGACUUAAAAUAGCAGAUAUGUGAGAUGGCUCCCAUUUUUGAAAGAUUGCCUUGACUGUUAAGUGUGAAACGACUUGUGGUUUUACACCAACUCAUGAACAACUAGGCCUUGAGGACAAGCACAAGUAAGCAGUUCCAUAGCCUUUCCCUUUAUAAAACAUGGCUUUAAGAACCCACUGCCACUCUCUGAACUCAGUCCCUCAUUUCCUUUUUCCUAGAUAAUUUCCAGAAUUAUCUGGAAUCUUUUGUCUGAAUCCCUCUGUCCAAAUUAUCUUCCUGCAGCUGAUUUCUUAACAUAACAUCCCUCUGCUAAAAGGCGUCGAUGAUUUUCCCCUAUACAAAAUGAGUUACAGAUUCUUUAGUUUCUUCUUGUAAUGUAACUUCCCAGGUUUUAUCUCCAGCUAUUCCAUCAUGUUUCUUUUUAAAAAUUUUUUUUCUUUGAUGUUUAUUUAUUUUUGAGACAGAGAGAAACAGAGCAUGAAUGGGAGAGGGGCAAAGAGGGGAAGACACAGAAUCUGAAGCAGGCUCCAGGCUCCGAGCUGUCAGCACAGAGCCUGACGCGGGGCUCAAACUCACGGACCACGAGAUCAUGACCUGAGCCAAAGUCAGAUGCUUAACCAACUGAGCCACCCAGGUGCCCCUGUCAUGUUUCUUUCUUAUACACUACCCAAGUUGGAUCACUUACUAAUAUUCAAAUGGGUAUACUUUAUAUAAAUAUAUAUAACAUACAAAAUAUGUAAGUAUAUAAUAUAUAGAAUAUAUAAAUAGAUAUUAUAAUAGGAAUAUGAACCAGGAAAGAGAGAAUAGAAACCAUAUUGCAAAUAAUUAACAAAAACAGCUUAAAAGAGUGAAAAAAUAAGAAGGAAGUAAUCCGAAUAUCAGUAUAAAAACUGGUAACAUGACAAGUUAUCUUUGCUUCUCUGUCAACUCCAUAUUCUAAGCACUAGCAUUACCUGGGAGACUAUAUGUAAUGUAAAACAUAGCCCAAAUGUGAUCACUCCCACCACUGCCGCUUUGGCCCACAGCCUGCCUGGCUGCAAUAUUAGCUGAGCUUAGUUUCUCUCCUUCUAAACUUGCAAAUUUCCUUUCUAUUCUCCACAUGGUAGUUAGAAUAACCUCAUGCAACCUAUACCAGAUGCAAUUUUUCCUCUGGUUGAGACAGAUCAUAUUCAGACUUAAAUACUUACUCUGCUCUGGAAUGACCUGUUUCUUUCACUAUCUUUCUGACCUCAUCUGCAACCCUUAUCUCCCUUUCUCUUUGCAAUUCAAUCACAUGGGUUUCUUCAUUAUUCCUUGAAUGGACCAAGACUGCCCCUACCUUUCCAUCUUUGUAACUAUCAGUCCCUCUUGAUAUAUUCUUCUUCCAAGUACCUGUGGAGCUACCUUAUUUUAAUCCAGGUUUGCUGAGAUGUCCCCUUAUCAGACAAUCCUUCACGGACUCCACUAUCAAAAACAUCCCAAUCACUCUCUAUUCCCUUAUCCAGCUUUAUUUUCUUUAAAGGACAUUCUAGCUGAUAUAGGGUAUGUGGAUUGGUUCAUUAUUUGCCUGUUCUCUUUUCUCAAUAAGAAUGCAAGCUCAUUGACAGUCAGAACUUCAUCUGUUUCACUCCUGUAUCCCCAAAACCUGGUACCCUAACUAAAGUGGGUACUCAGUACAUGUUUCCUUAGUGAAUGAAUAAAGAAAUAAGCAAGCGAUAUAUUCACAUAGUGGAAAGCUAUACAGCAGUUAACAUUAAUAAACUUGGUAAGUACUAUCAACAUGAAAAAUGUUUCAAACCAAAAUGUUGAGUUCAAAAAGCAAGUUGAUGGGACACCUGAAUGGCUCAGUCAGUUAAGUGUCAGACUCUUGAUUUCAGCUCAGGUCAUGAUCUCACCAUGCCUGACAUUGAGUCCCACAUUAGGCUCCGUGCUGAUAGCAUAGAGCCUGCUUGGGAUUCUCUCUCUCCUCUCUCUCUGCCCCUCCCUCCUUCUCUCCCUCUCUAAAUAAAUAGACAUUUUUUUUAAAAAAAGCAAGUUGAAGAAAGUUACAUUGAAGACAUUUAAAUCAAAGUGGCCUAUUCUGGAAAAUCAGAAUUACCUCCUCUAGCAAAACAUCAUAAGUUACAAAUUAUAUAUUAAGUAUUCUUAUUUUUAAGCUGAGUCCCAUAGUGUUUCAUUGCUUGCUCUAAAUCACAGAUCAGUGAGUAGUGGAAUGGGGCAGGAGGGGACAAUCACCAAUUCACUGGUCUCUUCUUCCUUCCAGCACCCUUGAAUGUGCUAAGAAUAACCUCAAUCAUGACACAACUCAAAUGUGAGAUUCCUGCAGGCUCCUCAAUGAGAGCAGGGCCACCACUAUUUCUUCUUUUCUUCUUUCUCACCAUUACCAUAAGUGCAGUGGGUAUGAGUAUCACUCCAAAAAUGUGAGUGCAGAAAGUGAAACAUUUAUUUGUUUUCUUUAUAUCUCACAGUAUACCCCAUGCUGCCUAGAUGGUGAAAAAAAUCACUCGGUUCUCCCCAGUGUCCACCAUCCCCUCCCAACAAUGGUUUAUGAAGGGCUCAGGGAUGGUACAUAGAGCAGAAUAUUCACUUGGACCCCUCAGUUCAUCCCUUGGGCACACAAAUCACUAUGGAAUGGCUUACUGUCCAGGCUUGCCUAUUCCUUUCAGCCCCCAAUUAAGGACCAUGGUUGAACAGCACACCAUCUCUAUAUUCUGGGGAGCCUUCAAAUAACUCAAGUCCUCCACAUGGGCUUCUGUGACAGCUAUUCUACCAUUUUCCACGGGUUCCCAUCACUCACAAAUCCACCAUAUUAUUAGUGUUGUCUUGGGGAGCCUCUUCUCUUCUUGUCCCACCUUGUUCUAUCACCUUCCACUCCUAUCAUGCUGUCAGUGACCCUGGGCUAAUGGGAAAAAAGACUGGUUGGAAUGGAAAGGAUUUGUGGGAAGGUAAAUGGAGGGAAGAUCUUGAGUGCAAUGGUACAUGAAGCUUACAUUAACCACACAAACAAAUGCCAAGCUACAGCUAUGAGGGAAGCUAGGAAGGAACAGUUCAUGACGCUAUGGGGGAGUUUGAGAAGACUUCCUGAAAGACUGCCAGUGAACCUGAAGUAUGAAUAAGGGUUAAGAAACCCAAGAUGAGGCCAGCAAGCAUCCCAGGGGAAGAACAAAUCCUGUGCUAUGGAACUAAAGGGAAGGGACACGGUACACACGAGCUCCUGUUAUAUAGUAAGUGCUCAGUAAAUGGACAUUGUAGUAACAGAAUAAUUAUUAUUCACAGUGUUUGCCCAAAUAAGGCAUUUUUUCCCAACUCAGAACAGAGACAGUUGGAAAAGUUAAUCACAAAAAGGAAUGACCAUAUGAGAAAGAGCAUCAAACACAGGAAGCCAAAAGAGAAAGGACCAAAGCCACAAAUGUAAGCCUGACAUGUUUCACCUGCACUAAGGUUGGCAAAGCGCAGCAUUCAGGAGCAGUCAGAUCAUAAGCAAAAAAAAAAAAAAAAAAGUGUUCUCUCUGGAAAGGCUAUUUGUGAAGAAACACUAGAGGGAAAAAAAGGGGGCCCACACAAUAAGCUGCAUUCUCAUAUAUUUAGGAUACCACUACCAUCUCACCCCAAAUCUUGGACCUUCCUGAAAGAAGCAGGAUGGACACCGCCGUGUUUCCUCAGUUCCUCAAGUGGGAGUUAAAUCAAACGAAUACUGUUAUCUUAUUUUUGUUGUUGUUGUUGUUGUUCAAUUAGUGUAGAAGUGGUUCCUGACCAGUCUCUACUCAGUGAUAGACAAAGCUGUGAAAUUUUAAUUCUCGAAUAAAUGCUAUCAACUUCCCCCCUUCCAUCCCCCAAUAGCCACAGCUACCACACCAUGAGAAAAUAGAAAACUUAAAAUCACUAAUCAAUGAGGCCUCAAUCCAUUCAAACAGAAAACAGUUCACUGUAAUCUGUAGCAUAAUCUGGUUAUUAAAACUUCAGUCUCGAAAGAUGGCGGCGUAGGAGGACACUGGGCUCACCGCGCGUCCUGCUGAUCACUUAGAUUCCACCUACAACUGCCUAAAUAACCCAGAAAACCGCCAGAGGAUUAGCAGAACGGAGUCACCGGACCCAAGUGCAGACGAGAGGCCCACGGAAGAGGGUAGGAAGGGCGGCGAGGCGGUGCGCGCUCCACGGACUGGCGGGAGGGAGCUGGGGCGGAGGGGCGGCUCGCCAGCCAAGCAGAGCCCCCGAGUCCGGCUUGCAAAAGCGGAGGNCGUGGAUGGAACUGGAGAGUGUAAUGCUAAGUGAAAUAAGCCAUACAGAGAAAGACAGAUACCAUAUGGUUUCACUCUUAUGUGGAUCCUGAGAAACUUAACAGGAACCCAUGGGGGAGGGGAAGGAAAAAAAAAAAAAAAGAGGUUAGAGUGGGAGAGAGCCAAAGCAUAAGAGACAGUUAAAAACUGAGAACAAACUGAGGGUUGAUGGGGGGUGGGAGGGAGGGGAGGGUGGGUGAUGGGUAUUGAGGAGGGCACCUUUUGGGAUGAGCACUGGGUGUUGUAUGGAAACCAAUUUGUCAAUAAAUUUCAUAAAAAAAAAAAAAAAAACUUCAGUCUCCUUUAAAUGGGUAUUUGGUAGCAUUCAGGUCCCCAGUUUCUCUUCUGCUUGAAACUUGGGCAGAAUGGGCCUGAUUUCUCCAUUCUGCCUUCUCUCACUCCCUCCCAUUCCCUUUCCCCUAACCACAGCUCCUGCUCACCCUCAAGGCAGUAUAGCUUGCAACAGAGGGAAAGAGAAACUUUUAAAGGUAAAUAUGGAGACUCUUUCAUCUGUGAUUGGGCCCCUGCUUUCUGGCUAGCACCACUGAAAUCUGUGUUUAGUAGAACUUCAGAAUGUACAUUUUGAAAUUUCUCAAGUAACUGAAGUAGGUGACAAUCCAAACAUGUAAACACUUAGAAAUGGCAGUUAUCAUUUUGAAACAGUGUUCCUUUUGUUUCAGCAAUUUACAAUGAAUUAGAUCAAUUUCGCUAUGAGACUACAACUUGCCUGCCAGUGGCCUCCAGACAUCCUUCAAUGCUGCCUCAAAAUAAAACCAGACCUCAGCCCCAGGAAAAGAUCAACAUUUCUACAGGACCCAGCAUGGUGUGUAUUUGCUCAGGAUUUCUGUCUUCUUAAUUAAAUAUUUUUCAGUCCCUGUCUCAGAAACUGGAAAACACAAUUGAAAUGCUACAAGAUACAUAGUAUUCUAAGCUUGUAUGUGAAAUGGUAGCUAGAGGCCAUGAAAUAACACCACAGCUAUUACAGAUAAUUAUCAAGGAUAUUCUGUGAGAACAUAAAC